CCAAAAUACUGCUAGACCAGCUGCGUUCCGCCUUGCGCUGAAAGCUGACCAGGUUUGAAUCGGCGAGCUUUCAGCGCACGUUACACGCCGGUGGCGAGCAUGAAAAUGUCACUGCGCCAGCUGAUUCUGUCAACACCUCCCCCUGCCACGCCACCACGCCCAGCUUGGCGGAUCUCGGCUCGCCUCCGUGCGACUCAGUCCACGAAAAUACCAAACUCGCCUUACGCCGGGCUCCGCCAGACGAAAAUACAACUUUGGGAAGUGGUAGAGUGGGAGGGCUUGUUGUUCUGUUGGAAGUCUCAGUCUUGAAGCCUUUAAAAAAAUGUUAUUCUUCUAUCUUCUUUAUUUGAAUAAUACAUUUAAUACGUCUGUGUUCUGUUAUGGUUUUGUAUAGCAAUACACGACAUAGAGAAAAAAGAAGAGUAAUUAUUUCCAGUAUUAUGCUGCCAUCCUUUUAACCUAAAAAUGUGCUCUCUCUUUGGCUUUUAGAUCUUCACAGGUCACUCCGAAUGGUAACAGAUGUGAAUGUGCCCAUCAAUGGUUGUUUGUAUGUCUAAUAGUGUACCCUGCCCGCCUCCCCUGUUCUGUGUAAGUGAACGUAUGAGGGUGCACUUCAAGUGUACUUUGUGUGGCCUUCCAUUGACCUCCGCAGUGCUGCAGAGUGCACAUUUGAGUGCUAAUAUAAGUUUGCACUUCAAAAACAGACUCAAACAUGUAAAAUACAAACGAAUUUCCCCUUGGGGCUCAAUAAAUUUCUUGUAUUAUAUUAUAUUGUAUUGUAUUGUAUUGUAAAAGAAGAUUGUAGACUUAAGUAAAUGUACUACUAAGCGCACACAAACAUUUUAAUUUCCUUAAGGGAAUCUUCUCAAAAGGAUAAAUAAUGUUGUAUCUAAUCUAAUCUUAUCUAAUCUAAUCAAAUCCUAUCACAGGGAUGCAAUUUUAACUGUGCAACUUCUAACUGUUCAUAUCAAACCAUGCUCAAAACCAUGCAAUAAAAUGUGUGCCUCCAAAAGUGUGCCUCCUGCAUUUUGAAGUGUGCCUGCAGAGGUUCACUUUAAAAUGUGCGAUUAAACAUGAGCACUUUAAAGUGCAGUGCAACUUACAGUGUGGAGACUCCAGUGUAUCAUUGAGUACAAUUAUUUGUAUAAAUAAUGCCCAUAAAGAGGAAGAAAAUGUUAAUUCAUCUUCAUAUGACUGCAAGCUUAUAAUGAGCAUGUUACACGUCUAAGAGAACAGGAUUAGGAGAUGCUAGUGCUAGUAACCAGCAUUAGCUAACCAUACCUAAUACUGUGUUUACAUUACAGAUUUUAGGUUAUGAAGAAUUCAGUGAAAAUCCAGAUGAUUCAUAGACAAAGCGUGCAGCUACAACAUAAGUCUGUCUGUGUGACUGUCAGUGUCAUGUUUUAUAGCUUUCUCAAUAAGCAGCACAGUAUGUACCCUUUUUUUCCCACAUCUAGUCUUAUAUUUGAUUUGAUACAUAAUUUACGUCUAUGCAAGCUUUUAUUGACACUAUUGGGAGAUUAAUCAGAUUUAAGCAAAUGUUGAUCUGUGGGUUGAACACGCAGGUUAUUUUGUCUAUUUUUCCACAGCAAUCUGAGGCUCCAGUCUACAGUUAAGCUUGUUUAUUUGGCUGAUAAAUAGUAGAAGAAAGUUUCAUUUUACUUUGUCACUUCAGUAUGUAAUUAUCCUCCAUUCUGGAGCUCAUGCACACGAUCUGAGCUCUUUGAACCUUUGUCUGCAUCUGCAUCUCCUUUUUCACACUUUCAAAGACUGAUGAAAGUGAGGGGACAGAGAAAAAUGGACAGAAAGAAGGAGAGACAGAGAGUAAGCGAGAUGACAGCAUCCUAAUGAGUUAUUUUUCAUGUGGUGUUUGUGUAGGAAAUGUCAGCCAUAGUUUCUGAAACCUACUACUGUGGGUUAAGUAAAGGCAUAUGUGGAUAGUUUGAGUCCCCCUUGUGAUGCUAUGUUGAAAAAAAGCUGUUAUAGUAGUUCAGCUGAAAACAGACAGAUCUUUAUUUUCACGUCUCCUUGUGUCUCGUAAAACAUUUAAAAGCAAUUAUUUACUAUUUCAGGUCAAAUUAAUCUUUGAGGUUUACAAUUUAAAUCAUGUACUUCUAAGUAGAUUCACUGUUGUACUUCAUAUUGUACCCUUAAAAAAGUACGCUUAUUAAGGUGGACGAGGUAAUACAGUGUGUUCUAAGAGUGUGUACCAAGUUGGCCUCUUAAAAGUGCACUUAAGUUUAUGCACUCAAGUUUGCACCUCAAGUAUGCACAUUGCAGUGCAGGUGAAAGCUUGUAUGUAAGUGUGCUCCUCAAAUGGUGCUCAUAAAAUUUACACCUCAGAGUAUGCAUCUGAAACUGUCCCCCUUAGUGCAACACCCAAGAAAAUGGGCCUAAACAAAAUCAUGUUUUAAUUGUUUCUGUUCUCAACAAUGUGUAUCCAUGCGUGUGACAAAAACUUUGAAACAACUUCACUCUGGAAAAUAGAGAGAGUUUUUGUUACAAUCCCUUCGACCUACUGGAGCCUUUCUUACACAAAUACAUUCAGCACAUUGUUUACUCAGUUUUACAUAAUUAAGAUACUUUAAAUGGUUGGCAAUGUGGUUUUCUGAGGCUGUGUUCUUGUGAAAUUAUAUUAAACCAAACUUACUACAUUUUUUGUCUUAUUGCUGCAGUUGUAGAAUCUCUCUAGUGGAAUAAUUGCUGAUAUUUUGUUAGUUAAUUUUCCAUGCACUUACAGUAUAAUGUUUCUUAUUGAGACAUCUUAACCUUCUCAGCUGAAGUUUGCUUCAAGGCGUGCAUUUGUUAGUCUGUAAUGAUUGUGCACUUAGGGGUAGCUGAAGGCAUGUCUUAAUGAUCCAAUCUAGUCUGAGUACACACAGAAAGAGCUGCCAUGUAAUGAAGUUUCUUAUUUUAGCAGUACAAACGAUCAAAUAGUCCUCAUUUGAGUUUAAUCAUAGUUAUUAUGACAUUAUAACAUGUAAAUGAAGAAGACAUUUUUGAGCUUUAAAGCUUUUAAGUAGGGUGGAUAAGAGAGUUGGGUGAGAGAGAGUGAGGAGUGACAUAUGGGAUAAAAUUAUAUUUAUUCCCUCUGCAGAUUUCAGGUGAGUUAUAAAGUUAGAAGAGCAGAGAGCGUAUUGUUUGCAAAGCUAGCAGAACGUCUAUAAUCAGUGUUUUACUAUCAACUUUAGACAGUUUGUUUUCUUAUUUAGGCUGGUAUUGAAAGAUGUCUGGUGACCACUCCACUGAUGCCCAAAUGCAGUUAUUGCAGCUUCUUUUUAAGGCCAUAUUCGAGGCAUGUUUUGACUCUAUUUUUAACUAACACUCACUUUUUCCUUCCCUAUAAUCACUUGUUUGUGUUUGAUUAUUUCCUCCUGAAUGAGUUUCCUUUUUCUACUCUCUCUCUCUCUUUCUGCUAAUUUACUGCACAGAUGUCCCAACACGUGCGGAGGGGGGGAGAUGCCGUCUUCCCUGCUAGCUAAAUCGACACACUGACAUAUGGACUGCCUGUCAAUUGUAAUUAUUAAUUGGAUAUUUCCCAGCCCUGGAGCAUGGCACAACAUGCUGCCCAGAGUCAAUCAAAUUACCAGAGCAUAUGUAAGGGCUGACUAUACACCACUGCUUCCCCUUCACUUAACUCUUGAUAUUGCCACACCUGUUCCUUAUAGGAAAAAAAGACUAUAUUUGAAUUUCUAUAUUUGAAUGACCAAAAGAUCUCUAUAUAAGAGUGCAUUCUCACGCUUUUAACAGCCCAGGUCUACCCAUGAUUCAACAGUGCACCUUGUGUUUACCAGAAUCUGCUAACACCUCAUUCCAGGGUGUUUUGUCCAUCAGAGGUCUCCACUGUACUUGAAUACUAAUGGACAGAAGCUUAUUUGAAGAAAAAAGGUUGUAAUUUGUAGUUUUUUUUUCCCCUGUCAAACUGGGCGUGCUCUUUAAUUAAUAAUAAGGAUGUGUAAUGAUUGUGUGAGUGUGUUUCUGGCUUAGUUUCCCCAUUUUGCUUAUUCACACAGUAAACGUGCCGUUCAUGAAGAUGUGCCAAAUUAUGAAAGGGCAUCACACCGGAGUGGCUAAAUUAAAAUGUGGCAAACAGCUGCUUCUACUUUUAUCAAGUACUACUUUUAGGGCAUGCAGAUAAUUUUCAGCUGGGAAAUAUUAAGAUGUUGAUUUUAUCAGCGAAUGAGCCCAGUAAAAAAAAGCCCAAGGUUAUGGGAUCAGAAUUUUAUUAUGCUUUAAUGUUUCAGAAAAUGUGAGGAGAUAUUCAGUAUUCCCAUGCCCUUCAGUGACCACAGGGAAACUCCAUCACAGCUACUGUUCAGCAACCUUUUCCUUUAACAUUUGGCAGCUUAAUACAUAAAUAAGCCUGUGCAAGUAUUUCAGGGACCCUGUCACCUAUAAGCUCUCACAUGUUGGCCCUGCUGGAUUGAUCCCAAUCAAUAUUAAUUAAUUCUAAUCAAUGCGGUGCAAUCUUUUUCACCUCACAAGAGUGGUCCAAACUAAUGAAAUUAAUGAAGUGUGCUGUUUGAGAUGUUGGCCAUCAGCCUCUAGGGUUCUGCAACAUCUGCUUACAGUAAAGCUCCAACAGUACAGUAUUCAGCUGAGCUCAGAUGGUUUCUUUGUUGUCAUUUAUGGCUGUUUCCCUUUGAGGGUUCAUUUUCUUAAAUGGAAGACAACUAUUUAUUGUACGAAGAAAGACGCUUUUGAUGGAGUUUACAUAAAACCCAACAAGAAAGAACAGUCAUCAGAGCCAACAGAUUAGCAGGGGACUACACCAAACACUUCACGCGGUUUCUUUGUGAGUGGCUAAUAACAUGUUUCGCUGCCAAGGACAUUACAUGCAGUCCACCCUCGAGGGAAAACUGCAGCUUAGAAUUCUUGUCCGCUGAGAAUUUCAUUUUCCUGCAACAAGGUUUAUCAAUAAUUUGUUCAAGCUUGCCUUGCUCUGCAAAUGGAGUGAUGAUUACUUGGACAGACUUCUAAUCGUUUUGUAUAUGAGUGCAGAAUUAUCAAUAUAUUAACAUGGAUCCAUUGAAAAGUUGAACCAAAGUCGAGACAAAUGAUGAGAACUUCCAGAGCGGUCUAACUCCAAGGUGAUGUAAGAAGGAUGGUAUCCGACAGUAGCAGUAACCAAAUCACAACAUUUCAAUACCAGUUCUUGUCUUGUCUUGUCUGAAAGGCUCCCUUUGAUAGGAAAAGAUCAGUGUCAACCUGAGGCGUUUUCAUUGGCGACAGGAAAUGCAUGAAGCCAGUGACAAUUUCAAACAUAUUGUUUGCCUGAGAGUGUGAAUAGCACCCUGACAAGGUGCCAGACCCUCUUCGCAGCUUCCUCCAGUUCAUAGCGCUUGACAGUAGCAUCUGUUGCUAUGUGCAGUACAUUAUUCCUACACCUACUCCUUUCUGUGAGCAGACUCUUCUCCACACAUUAAGGCUCACAUUACAUGUGUUUUUUUCAAACACCUCCUCUUUCUUUCACCAUUACUAAUGUAAAUGCCAUGGAUAAGCGGAGAAAGAGAGAAGAAAAGAAAGAUAGUCAGAUAAAUACAUUAAAAAAGCUAGUAGAAAAAGACUGAAAAAUUCAGACUAUAAAUGAUUUUAUAUGAAAACCAAAUCAAUACUGGGUAUUUACUUUGACUUGUAAUAAAUAAUCUUUGAGAUUAUUAUCCUCAAAUUAAGGACAUAAAACAGGAAGUGGCCUCACCUGUUUAUUUGUGAGAAGCAACAACUGAUUGUUAUUAGAGCCUAUUUUCGGCGUGGUGGUAUAAUACCUUAAAGUUUGAGCAUGAAUCAAAAGUUUUUAAACAGUAUUUUCAAACAUGACAAAAAAAAAAGGAUAGUGUAUUGUUAAAAGGGGUCUUGUCCUACCUUAAAGGAGUCCACACAACCACCAACAAACUAGUCCUUAUCCUGCCUAUUACUUUACAACGAACUAAGGACACACAAAGUUAGCAGCAUUUUUUUUUUUUGAAGAUGAUUUGAUCAAAAUAGAUUCUUUGCACAGCUAAAAAUGGCUCUUCAGUUUCCUCUGUUUCCCGUGCAACAGUAUUCUUGUCAGGCUACUAAAGUUAACGCUUUAAUUCAUGCUGAAGUCUAAAUAUUAGAAAUGGGAGAAUUAAACUGAACAUUUCAUGCCAAAGUUUGAACGUUAGUUUUUUCUUUUUUUUUGGUUGGUACUCUCAAUAAGUGCAAAAAAUAAGAGCAAAACCCGUACAAGGUCUCCUUCCUCAUAACUUUUGAGAUUUGGUGGCACUUUCUUUUCUCUCAGCCAGCCCUGUAACACUGCUGAAGCCCAUGCCAUGUCCGCAUUUGUGGUUGCUUUGUGUCCGUUUUCUUCAAUUUGGUAGACCUCCCUUACUGCCUCUUUUUCUCCGUGGUUUACUGGUUGGUCAUUAAAAAGUUUUAUGCUCAUAAUAAAUUAUAGUACAAUUAAAAAUUUGCUCCCUGUGGUUUAUCCUUGCUUAUUUUUUUUGUCACAUUGCCAAUAGCAUAAACAGUUUACUGCUUUUUCCAAUGUCACCUUUGCUUUUUAGAAUUCAUUACCAUUGUCAAGGUUUUAUUUUACCAGUCAGGUUCAAGUUUUAAACACAGCAUUGAGCAGCAAGAAAGCCAGUUAAUAAAAGAAGACAAGUGUAAAAUCAACUUGAACAGGUACAAAUGGCCAGUAAACAGGAAGUGGUUGAAACUUGGGCUGCAUCUUGACUAUAAUCUGUAAUGAUAUAGAUUUUAAAGGUUGAAGUAGCGAUACAAUUGUUGAAACUUCUGUGUGUUUGUCUUUUUUAUAAUGAGAUGUUGGGUUUUUAUUGACCCCAAGUAAUCACUUUGUCUUUCCCUAAUAACUGUGUUCACAGUCAAACCAUUGAAAGAAAACAUUUGAUUUCUUAUCUCAGACAUUGCUGUUGUUGUUUUGUUUUGUCUUUAUCUUACUGCUUUGUUUUUCUGCAUGUUAAAGCACUUUGUAAAGACUUGUUUUCAAAAGUAUACAGUAUAUAGUUUAUGUAUAAAAGAAGUUAUAAUUAUUCUUCUUAAUAUGUUAUCAUUAUUACACACAGAGGAGUGUGAUAUUGACAAAUAAAAUAUCAAUGCUUUGGGGAUUAACAUCCUUAAAAAAAACUUCAAAAAACAAAAUUUUGCUCGUAAAAGUUUUGUAUCGUUUCCAACAUAAGAUAAAUCUUUUGUCAGAAACACAGGUGUUAUGUUUUGUAUAACACCUAAAACUAAGCAAUUCGUUCAAAUAUGAUAAUCAUGUUGGAGCUUUGCUGCUCCAAUGGAUUAAAACAUUUGAGUUGUUAUUGUGUAAGUCUUAUAAACAAAUUAGCCUUUUGGAUUGGAACAUUUGAGCACUUGUUCAUUUUAUAUGAGUGUUAGAGAGGCAGUGCAGUGAAGACAGGUUUUGUGCACCUGCCGUAAAGAAUUAAAGGUGUUGCUCUUGUGUUUGCAGGAGGUGAAAAAAAGAUUCACAAGUCUGCUGCUCCCAAAGUGUUUGCCUCUGUGGUUUCAGAUUUCCAUUUUUACAUGUGUGUGUGUGACUAUUUUCAAAGAGUACAACUUUAACUGUCACAGGUGCACAGUUAUUUUGCUCCAAUAAUAGCUUCAUACUUGCUUUCAUCCCAAACAUCUAUGACGAAAAGACUGCCUCCCGUAUCCCUGGCAAGUCCAAAUCCAUGUGACAGUUUAAUGCAUUCACUGCCUCCUACUCAAAAUAAACAAUAAGAAUAAAUAGAACACAAGCUUCUAUAUUAUAUUUUGUACAGACUGGAGUAGGUUUGUCGCUGCAAUCCAGAAAAAAAGCUGCUGCAGCUUCAGGGCUUUCUUAGACUAUAUUAUGAUUAUUGUUUUCCUUAUAUCUGUGAGAUUUGUAGGCCUGCAUGUAAAAUACACAGACAUGCAGCAAAUACAGACAGUGAACUCUAAAGUAUCUGAAAUUCCUUAUCCUGUGUUAAGUCAUCUGUUUUAGGGGGAGUAAACCUGAGUUUCUCAGCAGCUUUUGUGUAUGUGCGUGUGUGUGGGGUGGGGGUAAUUUUAAUGGAGGUGGAGAUGUGAUUGAUGUAACUGUAGAGCUUGUGUUGAAAACUGCUCCUCGUCCAUAUGGUCGUCAGUCAGGGCGUGGUUUCUUCCUGUUCCCCUUCUGAUAUGUUCAGUGCAGCACCUGCACCAUCUGCUGUGUCUUGUUAAGUCCUCUGCAUGAGUGUGAAAAUUGAAGUGAAGUUAUUGAGGCUCAGACAUGUUGUUCUCUGGACACACAGACCUGAUGAAGUGUUUUGUUUUCUGUAACUUAGCUCAGCAAGGCUCCCACACAAAUAAAACGCAAAUAUUCAGACUGAAGCCUUUCUGUUUUUGAUAAUGAUUGCUUUUACUGCACAUAAGCAACAGUAAUGCAUUUUGCAUUAUACAGACUCUGCCUCUCAUACAGCGAUUCCCUUUGGAGUGCCUGUAAACAGUUUCUCAUGUAACUAAAAGAUCCCUGUGUCCCUGCUGAUUUCAUUUGACCACCUCCACUGUUCACACAGCAGCUUGGCUGCUGUUUUACUGGAUGUUAAGGCCCAGGGGGACAGACAGGAACAGCAGAGUCGAGGACUCCAUGCUGCGACAGUAAAACACCUUUGGGAAAUUUUGUCAGACAGACUGACAACAAAAAGCGCCUCGUUUCCUGUAAUUGUUUGUACCAGCCACUUCAAACUGUAAAUUCUGUUCAGGCGGAGGCUUGAAGUGAUUGCACUCUGUGAAAGCCUCUUUGGCAAGCAUUAUCAUAUUAUCUACAGUUGUAAAACAGGAUUGUACAGAGAUGUGUUUGUCUGGCUUCUUCAGAUCAUAUCGACUGAAUGUCAGCGCGCAUUCCCAUUUGACUUUGAUAUGUUCUUUGCAUUAAUUACUGAGUCUGUUAGAGGAAAAAAAAGUGUUUUUAAUUUAAGGAAGAAAAUAGGCAGUGUGCUCAAGGGCAUGGGUCACCCCUAAAAUCUAAUUGGUCAGCAAAUUUUCCUAUGCAUAAUUACCUACAUUUAAUGAUAACAUCAUGCCCCCACGCCUCUCUCAAAUUCAUAUGAAAUUACAUUUCCUUCAUAUAUCUUUAAGAUAUUUUCUGUAUACUUAACAGCAGAUCCUGUUGUAAUUAUACAAUUUAAAAUUUCCAGACAGACUCAACUUUAAAAUACAGGUUACAGCAGGUACUGGUGCAUAGACCCUUUAGGGGUCACAAUAUCUCACAACUAUUCAGCUGUUAAAGUCUUCUUUGAGUUCAUCUUUAAUGUCCUUUUGUUCAUUCACAUUUGUCCUUGUUACUCGAAUCUCUUAUCUGUAACUUGUUACUGCACUACUUUGCACCUGACAUCGACAAAUGUCAUUUCGUUUAGCAAUUCAGAUGAAUGAUAACAAAGUUGUGAUGAGGUGAGUAUCACCACUGUGCAAAGUAGUCUUGGACUCUUGUCUUUUGGUUUUCUUGGGUCCCCGAAUAAAAGAAAUAAUAUUAAUAUCUCCAAACUACAUUUAUCAUAUACAAGCCACCACUGCCUGUCAACAGAAACAAUGACAUAUCUGGUUAAAAAUAUAGCAAGACCAAAAGGAUGACGUUGAUUAUCAAAAAGCUAACAUGUGCUGUGCACACUUCAUAAAGCAUGUAUUUACUGUUGAAUGGUUGGAUUGCAUUUGGUUAAAUAGGGUAAUCGUUGUCCUUUAAUAAGAAAUUGGGGAUUAAAUUGGAUUAUAUAUAUAUAUAUUGGAUUUCUUUGUACUAUUACCUUUAUUUUUACAUGAGCUAACAUAAGCUUUAGCGAGCAAAACAAAAUAAAUUGAGGAAACAGUUUAUUUGUCACCCUCAUUUGUAUAAUUGCCAUUGUAAUCAACUAUAUACAUGUGUGCAUCCAAGGACUUAUCUGCCCUCAGUUUGUUUUCUUAUGAAUGUCCAGCAGGCCAGCUCAUCUUUGCCGGGCCUGACAAAUCAUUAAUUCACUGAGUGGUAGCAUACAAGUAAGGGUUUUUAUUUGUUUGUUUGUUCAAAGCCCUGCCCACCCAAAAGUAUCAAACUGUUUACUCACACUAUGCCACCAGUUUUUGGAAGCUCAUUUAGAGGAAAGCCAGUCCUGCAUUUCGAUUUCCAUUGCAAAAACACAACUUAUAUGCAGCUGUGUAGAUCUUUUUAGCACCAUUUCUUUCGCCAUGUGGAGUUUGCAGUCUGGCUAGCCGUAGGUACGGUAGUUGAUUGUAGCCUGUGGUAACUGUCACACUACCCAUGUCUGCCAGUGUUUAUUAACUCAACAGUAAAUCCCCAGUGUCUUUAAAAUGCAUGAAUAUGACCCGUGAGGGAGAAAGGCGUCACAACCAGUCUGUUAACUAAGACAGCCACAUCACUGUUUACCUCAUCAGGCUCUCUGUGGUGGAGUAGCUGCCUCUCUGCAUUUUAUACUUGUGGUCAAGCUGGUAUACAGGACACAGACACUUGUGUGGAGAAAACAAAGGUGUUUCAUAUAGGCUGCACAGAAUUUCAUGCUGGUACAGUAUUGUGUUUGAUGUGUGUAGGAUGAGCGUGAGUGAUGUGAAAAAGCUUUCUUCUCUUCUAUUCAAAGGCACAAUGAAACUUUAGACACUGCUGUUAGUGAUGAAGAACGAUGCGGUUGGAUGGCUGGUUGAUGAAGGUCAAAGUAAGUGAAGAAAAACUAGGAAGAGACUGUUUUGUAUCCUCUAUUCAUUCACUUUCCAGCUCAGUUUCAUCUGCUUCUCAGCUGAUCAUGGGUGUUAACUCUUCUAUCAGACUUGCUUUUGCCUUGACCCUCAUUUUCCUGCUGCUGUCAAACUCAAAUCUUUUCUCCUCUUUGCUCUGUCAAUUCGUCAUCCAGAGUGGAUCACAGCAACAAUAGGGUCUCAUCACCAGAGACUUGGCACAUUUCUUUUUCUUUUUUUUUUGUAAACUUGUAAAAUUAAGAACUUUUCACUCAUGAUGGUGCCUCUUCUGAUUAAACUAUAAUUAUAAAUUCACUACUACUCAUAUUUUUUGAGAGAGUGUAUGUGCUUCGUUUUUUGUGUGUUGUCAAAUUGGUAAAGGAGGGAAAAUAUAAUGCUCUUUGGUUAGUGAGAGAAAGAGUAUUUUACUUGCCAUGUUUCCCAUUUGAGAUUGUAUUUCACUACUCAAUGUGAAAAGGCAUGCCUGUCUGUACAUUUAAAACUGUUGCUUGGUGUAAUUGAUCCUCUUCUCUGCACUGUCAAUGAGGAAAGGCUCUCCUUGUUUUUCAUGACGUGUAACAAAAUUCAUAGUCCUUGUUGUCUGGGGACGUGUCUGCUGUUAUCGUAGUGGCUCCAUCAAAGUAGCAGCGAAGAUGAAAUCAGCUAAAUUAGUUUGACUCCAAUAAAUGUGCGCGUGUCCGUACCUUGCAUGAUUACAUGUUGGUCAUGCUGCCCCUACAUCUUUUAGGCAAAAAUCUUGAUGUGUCACUCAGUGUUCAACAAUUGUCAGUGACAGAAUUGGUAGCAAAGUAUGUUUUUGCUGCAGUAAAUGCAUUUCACUGGAAUAUGGUUAUCCAGGCAUUUGAUUUGUCUCUGGUGGCAGGAGCUGUGUUAACAGCACGACUUGUAUUGUGUGAGACAAGCUUUUCUCGGUAGUAGCAGAUAAUGGAUGACUCUGCAGCGGCUCAGAUGAGAUCAGGGAAGCUGGAUGUCAGUGGGAGAUGGACCUAAAGAGGAAUUCUUAUUUUUGCUCUGUAUGUAAACUAGAUGAACGGUGCUUUCAUAUCUCUUUCUCUAGCUAAACAAAGAGCAUUAUAUUUUCUCUCCCUUACCCAUUUAAAAACACACAAAAACGAAGCAAACACACACACACUCUCUCUCUCUCAAAGAAUAAAAAAUAAAAUGAAAUAGUGGCUUAGCUGCUCAUCCUGUAUACAAAAGCCAGAAUAUGCACUGUAUACAGCUUUAGGGAUAGGCAGACGAUUAAUCCAUCAAACCUAAAAAUCAAUCGUAACUUUCUAAAGUGGCUGCUUGUUGCUUAAAAGCUACACAAGCUUCAAACCUUACCUUACUGAAAUUGAAUCAGUGAUGAUGUAAUGAUGAAAAAGAAAAGGAACAGCAGGUCAAACUCAUACCAUUAUGAACACCUGUGCAGUGUAGUCCAACCCAAUACUAAUACAGGAAUCUUUUGAAUCUUUAGUUUUUGUCCACUAGAUCAGGCAGGUGAGAGCUGUGCUUUAAAUUAGAUAAGGUUGGGUAACACUUUACUUGACGCCUAUCUCUAUAACACAUUGUAAAUAUAUUUAUAAUGCAUUAUAAUCAUGUUAUAGUACUGUAUAACUAUAGUUAUAAACACUCAUAAAGGAUUAUAAUGCUUUAUAGCAAUAAUCAAAACACAUAAUAAAGCAUUUUAUUAUGACUUACAAGGUCAGGUAUUAUAAUAUCUAAUAACUGUUAACAACAAUCGCAUUGCAUUAUCUAUGUGGGCAUUGUCAGUGAGUUGUUUACAGUUAUAAGACAUUAUAAUACCUGACCUUGUAAGUCAUGAUAACAUGCCUUAUAAUGUUUUAUAAUUAUUGCUAUAAAGCAUUAUGAUCAUUUAUGAGUGUUUAUAACUAUAGUUAUACAGUGCUAUAACAGGAUUAUAACGCAUUAUAAAUAUAUUUAUAAUGUGUUAUAGGCGUCAAAUUAAGUGUUACCCAAAGUAGUGUACUGGAGUGCAUUAUAUUGACUGGUGUUCCUCACAUCUUGCUCCCUGCAUGUUUGUUAAUUACAGUACACCAUGACCACUCACUAAUAAAUUCAAAGAACAAGUAUGGCCUUUCUGAUAAUGCCAACAAAAACAGAAAAUGGAGUAAAUGGUAACUCCUACCACUCAGGCUGUACAAAAAAGGUAAUUGUUAUCUAAAUUAAAGGGCAGUCAUCAAGCAAAUCAAGCAAGAGCAAAUGACCCUCAAUUGAUUUUGCCGACACGAUUGGGGUCAAUUAAGUUAUCGCUCCAUCAGACAGGAAAGAAAGUGAUUGCAAAACCUGUGAUACAUAUGUCUUCCAGUUUGCACUUAAGCACAGACUAGAAGAGACUUGUUUACUCAUGGAGGAUUCUGGUUAUGUUGGGGUUGGUUUUUGCAUAUGUAUUGCUAAAUAAAUAACUGAAUCAGCCCAAGGAUUAUGUUUUUCAUAUAAAUUACAGUGUGCCCUUAAGCAGAGAAUGUACAGCGUGCUCUGGUUUCUUCUCUGCUGUAAAUGGUUUCCCUUUGAAAAAAAACAAAGUGGCUUUGUGCCUUGGCAGUUUGGUAAACUGUGCAGAUCCGCUCCUGGGUUUGAGGCAAAGGGCAACAUGUGAAGAUAAAUCACUGCCGCUCUGACUACAGAAAGAGCAGGCCAUUGCGGAGGUCACAGAAACAACAGCUGCAACACAAACAUGUCACUUCUGAAGCGGCAGAGACGCAGGCUACAAUCAAGUGUUCCUGACACAUACUGCUUUGAAAGCUUUGCUUCCUGUGCUGCCUUUAUCGUACAUCAGGUAGACUGUGGCUAAUUGUUGCCUUAGAAACAAAAAUAGCAACAUUUGGGUCCCUUCGUAGAAUUAGAAUCAAUCUUACCAGACAGGGAUAAGAACUUUGGGUUCUGUCUUACUCUCAUGCUGUGUUCAAGUUACCUCGGAAGUCAGAAGUCCGAGCUGGGAAUGACGUCAGCAUUUUAGUUACCAAGUCGGAAAAAAGCAAAAUCGGAGGCGGAAACAAGAUGGCUACACCUACUUUGAGCACUUGCCUUGUCUGAACGAUGCAAGAGCAAGGCAAACACUAAAAUAACUUUUGUAGAUGUAGCCAUCUUGUUUCCGCCUCUGAUUUUGUUCGUUUCUGACUUGGUAACUGAAACUCUGGUAACUCGGGUGUGACUUCAUUUCCAGCUUGGACUUCUGACUUCCGAGGUAACUUGAACCCACCAUCAGAUCAAAGCGCCACGGGGCCAGGAUAAUCACCAUUGUCAUUUUUCGUCCAACACUGUUGCCAUUUUCUUACUUCCACGCAGUGUGCCCGUCUGCCCGAGCAUCACCUCAGCUCGCACAUGCCACAAGCAAGAGUUCUCCAGACACACUCACUCACAUACACUUGGGGUGUUAAAUGGAAUAGUCUAAGUUUUGUGUAAGUUUUAUUGCUGGUAAAUGUAGAUUGUCGUGCAACUGGCCCGCAGGAAAGAACUCCACCAUCUCUUUCUGCUCUAAGAAGUAAGACAAUGGUUGAUAUAGAUCAUCCCCACCCUCUGUCUGUGCCUUUCUUUGUUGUGUAAAAUGUCCCUCAAGUUAAUUUUUUGUGAGUGAUGUCCUCUUUUAUUACUUUUAGUUUAAAUUAGUGCUGGAGCUAGUGUUUGAAAAGACUUUAUUUCUAUCACUCAGUAGGAUGAGGUUAACCCCAGGCUUUCAUUUUUCUCUUUGCACAGUAGGUGGUGCGCCAUUAUCAAACAAGCAAAGAGGAAAUUCAAGCACUUUAAGUCUCACUGUGGUGUUUUUAAAUAUUCCUGCAAAUUAUCCCAAGAUGACAGUUAAUGAGAGCAGAUGAUCCUUUGAAGUGGAACAAAAGAAAAGCCACUGAUCCAUUUCAAAAAAGAACAAGAUCACAGCUGAAAUGCAGUUUUUAAGGUAUCACCACCUACUGUUUCACAGCAGCUCCCUUUUAUAUUUCAUCCAUUUCCAGAUAGUCCAAAAACACAAGAAACUAGAGAGGAAGCUCUUGCUGUGAUUUUGUGUGGUGUGUUAAUUCCUGUCUCGGGGCAAGGCUAGUUAACCUCACAAAGUGAACUCCUCCGCUCUCAUUCUUUUACAUUUUCUCAGCCUUGUUUGUGGGUUGUGUUCACCCAAUUCGUCUUUAAUUCCAGUGACUACAAGCAGCUGUAAUGAGGCAAAGUCAGGGCUCCUGUGUUUCCUUUAAUUUGCUGGGAGAUCACAAAGCCAAUGCAUCACAGGAGGGUUUUUUUUAGCGCCCUCCCAACUGACCAUGGCUAAAUGGUGUUUUUGCUCUGCUGAACACUAAUCCCUCUGUCAGAUAAGGCCCAUUAUAGCAGGGGUGUAGCCAGCCUGGUUUAGUUUGUGCAGUCACUGAACCCGUCUGUAGUAGACAGUGCAGUCCUGCAGGGGACGGCAGUUCAAUGACACUGCUGUGUUUUCCAGUGCCUAAUAAUGUAGCAUGUGUUUUUUGCAGCACAGUGGCUUCCUUCUCUCUGUCUCAAUAUUCAGAGGCAAAAAGGACUCAUUAAAGAACCUCACUGUCAGAAGAGAAACUGCUAAGAAAGGCUUUGAAGCAGCUGGUUUUGCACCACCCCUACCUGAUAUCAGAUGUGAAGUAGAUUCAUAUUCUGUAAGUCUCACUUGACUCUGAGCUAUGUGAAGCUUAUGUUUCACACCAGACAGACAGAAAUCAGAAGGUAGAGGCAGCUUGUAAUGCAUCAACCACAUUAGGCUCUCCUAACAGCCCAUGGACCAUUAUACGAGCUUUUAUCCUCUACAUCUGUACAUUAGGUUUUAUUGCAAAAUGAAGGUUGCUCUUGUGAAGCUCAUUUGGAAGUCAGCAGAUCUAUCAUUGGCUCUCCCAGACCCAGACAGCUGCAUGGAAAUGAGGAACAAAACAGGCGCACUUUAUUUGUGUGAGAGCGUAAACGACAUUGUUAUUUUUCUCCCUGUGAAAAUGAGGCGCUGGUCUGGUCGUUCACAGCCUGGGGGGAUAAAAAUUUAACUCUGAAAUGGCUCAAAUAUAGAGGGCCACAAUCAUUGCUGUUCUUUGUCGUGUUUUUUAACGACAUCCAUCAGACAUUUUAGCGUUAUGGUCUCAAAUAGAGCAUGUGGGUUGCUAUAGGAUAGAUUUUUUUGGGUGUCCAACCUCUUAAUUCUUCAAAACUCUAAGCUAUUUAGUCAUUUUUAUGUCAUCGCCCCAACUGGUUCUACAGGCAAGCACAUCAGUGCAGGUGGUUUCAAAGAGUUCAUUCUCUGAAACAAGAGUAACAAGGUACUAUAAAUAAAAUUGUAAAAUGACAGUAAUUCAUGUGAAAAAAUAGGAAUUUACUCUUACUCUUACUUUAUAUACAUUUAAAAGCAUUUACUCUUGAAUACUUAAGUACAUUUAAAAGCAAGUACUUUUUUACUCUUACUCGAGUAACGUAUUGACUAAGCUACUCUUACUUGUAGCGGAGUAAAUUUUGACCAGGAGUAUUUGUACUCUUACUCAAGUACUGGGGUCAAGUACUCCAUCUCUGGCUAGGACUAUGGCUGGGACCCUUUAUGUACUGUUGAUGAAGUUUCUGAGCAUUAUUUGUGGCUAUAGGCUCUUUGGUUGAGGUUUGCGCAUGGAGACGUAGACCAUUGCCUAUUGGUAUCUUGUGGUCGUUACUAAAGUUGGAAUGACUAGAGAAGCAAGCAGUCGGCAACAUUCAUCUCUCUAAGGGGUGGCUAACAUGCUGUUACGGUGUGUUUGACCCUAACUUAAUUUUACUCCAGAAUAUCUCUUUAAGCAGCUGGGUAAGCAUAGCCAAACUGUAGAGCAAGUCUGACCAGUCAAAAAUAAGGAUUCAGUUUUUAAAUCGGUAUUGAAAUCCAUGUUGACAUCAGCAGGAUAAAAGCCAUUCAGCUUACCAACAAAGAAACUGACGAAUACAUUGUGAGGCAUUCAAGGUCCGGUUGGUGAACCAAGAACCAGGUGAAAGUCAGUACAGAUGAGAUUCAUGGCUCAUCGAAAGAGCCGGAUCUUGAGGAGCCUCUCCUCUGAAAGAGCUGUUUAAAAGACUGGCUUAUUGUCAGAUUUAUUUAUUUUUAUUUAUUUUUUAGAAGUCAACCAAGGGUACAGCAGUGGGAAUUAUUCUGAAAUAUUGAUUAUAAUGUUGUUUUUUUUCACUCUUAACAUAUCCUCAUGCUUUGACAGUGAGGUCACUACUCUGCUAGAAUUUUUCCCUCACCUAAAAAACGUUGUGGCACAAUAAAAAACUAUGCAGACUACAGAUAACUGUUAACUGAUAAAAAUGAAGACAUGGUAAAAAUGUGAAUGUAAAAUUGUACUACCCUAUCUGGUGUUCAGGGCACACAGGUGACACGUGAAGACACUUAGCAAUUUGCACAUGAGAACGACUCUCAAAUCAACGGCUCGCCACUGUGAACCGGUUCUCAUCAUUCACUUAAAAGAGCCGUUCAAAUGACUGAUUCAUUUGUGAACAUCUCUAAAAGUAGAUAACUAUGCUGUCAUGACGUGUUCGAAUGAAUGUGAAUUUCCCAGUUAGUGUGAAUUUCCCAGUUUGGGAUCAAUAAAGUCUAUCUAUCUAUCUAUCUAUCUAUCUAUCUAUCUAUCUAUCUAUCUAUCUAUCUAUCUAUCUAUCCAUCCAUCCAUCCAUCCAUCCAUCCAUCCAUCCAUCCAUCCAUCCAUCCAUUGAAUCAUACAAUUCUGUAUAAACAUCAUAAAUAAAAGACUGGAUAAUAGUAUCGAUAAGGACUCAAAUCAUUAAUAAUUGACAACGGUACCAGUAUUGAUAGAAAUUAACCAUUCCCAUCCAAAACCUCAUUGGCACUGAUGUUUUUUUUGUGUUUAGGAAGAUUGCAGAUUAAUUUGUUAGAGUCUGAUUAAUAAAUUGCAGCCCUGCAACACCCACUUUUCCCAACAGCAUGCUCGCAGAUUAGCCACAUGAGGCGCCGUGACGACACAGAGAUCAGCAGCGAAAUAGGGUUUCCUCUCCUUUCCUCCUGCCGCACUUGUGUCUCCACUAUGGCUGCAGAGUCCUUAUUAAUGUCAUCAAGGGUCUAUUCUGUUGAUCUUUCAAAGAAGCAGCAUCCUUCACAGAGAGUGUCAGAGGAAUCUGGGGAGUAAAAUGUCAAGGGAAUAGUGCUGCGAGAUUGUUGGGAGUGCUCAGGAUGACUCCUCUGCCUGCUUCAUCUCAACAUCACACACACAUACUCACACAGCUCCUGUGCCCCUCCUAUCUCCUGUUUGCCAGCACUUCUAUUUUGGUAUGUUUGCUCUGCGUACCGUCUGAUGUAGAUGUCAUUAUGGGAGGCAAGUGUACACACUAACAAGGUUUUGGGAAGCUCAAUGUAAAUCCAUUAAUGAAUAUUUUUCUUUAUGCAGGGAAUGCAAGAGGAAUAGCUAGCUUGUUUACAUGUUUGGCCUCGUAGACCCUUAUCUUUUAAGAUAUUUUUAGGAGUGUGUCUACCACCAUUCUCAGCUUGGGUUUCGAUGGAAUAUCUGCUUUAAUGACAACAAAACCCAAGGGAUGGAGAAAGAUUUUGCUCUUGGUGCAUCAGCUCCUCUCCCAUCCAUACAGGGAAGUCAAAAAUAAUACAGUCUGUGUUACACUGGUAUACAGACAGGACCAAAACAUUGAAAGUAAGGGCUCUGUCUUGUUUUGUUUAUGGAAACUGGUCAAUUAAGGACAUUUUUGUUGUAAAAACUCCAUAACUUCAUAAAUAUUUCAAACCAACCAGAACACAGAGAGCAAUCCCAUUGAGACAAAUACUCAAACUUUUACCAAUAGAUGUAUUUACCAUUGCACCCAUAUUUUCCAGUUAUGGGACUCCUACUAAACAGUUUGGGAUCAGUUUUGUUGUUUUUUCUUGUUCUAUGAUGUUUCAGUGGGUGACGAGUCACAUCUACAUGCGGGCCAGUUUUUGCACUUGGACUCUUCUACCAAAUAGCUGUUGUAAUGUUUACAUAGUGUAGCUUGGCAUCUUUUUGAUGAUGGGUGAUAUGUGUAUCAGGGCUCGACAGUGCGACCAUUUCAUUUGCAUUUGCGACUUGAAAUAGAUGUGUGCGAAUUGUGAAAUGUAUUGAGGGGCACAUGUGCGCUUAAAAAAAUCAGCCGAGGCAACAAAUGUUUUUUCAUGUAAAUACCGCGGUGAAGUUAGUUUUAGGUUGAAUAUUUGAUGGACAUUCACUGCAGAUCUACCGGUGUCUUCUUACUCUCUAUAACCGGGAAUAGCGACAGGAGCGUAGUUAAAUCAACUCGGCACCCUCGCUGUCAACGUUGUGUGUUGAAAAAGGGACCAUCAAUAAAUUACCUGUUGAUGUUCUCUAAAAAGGCUGUUUCCUUCAAUAGCUUCCAUGUCAUGUGACCAAUUGAUCUAAAAUUGAUUUCAACUUACUUAUAUUGACCAAUAAGGCACACAUUAUUUGAUCAAUUUUCAUUAUGCCCCUAAAGUUCUUUAUGUGCUCCUUAAUUUUUCAACUUAGGAGCACAUGUACUCCUUGUGAAAGAAGUUAGUGUCAAGCCCUGUAUAUGUGUAAACAUUUUCUUUUCGCCGGUAUAUAUUUUAAUCUGCACAGAAAUCAACUGUGUUCACCAACAGCAGUUUUUGGAGGUGAUUUUGAGCUAAUGCAUUGAUUUCCAAUACAGUCAUCUUUAUCGUUAUUGGAACAUUAUUCUGAAGACAUGAAGAUUUUUCAUUCAGUUUCUUUUACUUCUGAAAGACUUAGCAUCUCAGUCAUGUUACCAGCCUGUUGCAAAUAAAAUGAAUGGGUUUUUUUUUUGUUUUUUUUACAUCACGCAAAUUUUUGCUGAAGUCAAAUUGAAAAUUACCAUUUUUUUUCAUAAAACAAAACAAAAGAAUCUGUGUUGCCAUCUUAUGUGCUAUAUUUGCAUUUUUUUCAAAAGCAUCUACUUGCGUUUUUUUUUUUUUUUUUUUUACACAUGUACUCAACCUCGGAGUUGUACAAUAUUGUGCUGGAGAUGUCUCUAGUGGGCAUGGUAUCACAUUCACAUUGCUUUAUUUAUUCAUCUCUUCCUUUGGCUGCUUCCCAUGGUCUAUAUAGGUGGACAAGCAAGAUAUGCAAGCCAAGGUUUAUUGGCUCUAUGCUUCACAUCUGGUAUGGAUACAAAUGGAGCCUCUUCCAUACUCUGUGUUCAUUUUGUUUCUGCAAUAUAUUGAGCAGAUGUUGUAGUACCACAGCAUUAGAGGGGGUAUAGUCAAGCAGUCCAUAAGCCAGACCAGCAAAAGACAACAAAGUACACUCUGGGAAAGGGAAAAACUUUUGAGGAACUGACUUUAGAAACUACAUUAUGACACAAAUAUGAUGUUACCACUGUGGUGGCACAAAAGAAACAACCACAGCAGAACAGAUCAGAUAAGAACGACAGUGAUGCAGAGUCUGCAAAAUCUUUUGUGAUUCAUUUUUUUACUGUCUAUCCCAUUGUAAAAGACUCUUGGAAGUCUGUGGGAGGUGACAGUUGUAUUUCUCUUUUUAUCACAUGUAAAGGAGGCAUCAAUGAGCCUUUAGUCAAUGUGACCUGCAUCCCUAAGGAUAAACUGAUUCCCCUAAAAUCAGAGGUAUUACUGAGGGUUUUUUUUUUGUUUGAACAGUAAAUCUUUAAAUGGACAGUCCAGUGUUUGCAGAGUUUAUCAGCUGAUUCAAGCUGUAUCUAAUCUGAAUCUGAUUGUCUCAAUCUUCCCUCAGCAGUGUCAUUAUGGAUACGGGUAUCCUAUAUAAAAAUUACAUCACAGUCCAAACUCGUCACUCCAGUGUAUUGCUCUCCAUAAAUCAUGCUCAUCAUGUUCAAAGGAAGCAGAUGUUUGAUAGCCAACUGCACUUUCCAUUUGACGCUUGUUCCACUUGGUACCCAAAGAGCCUCCAUAAUAAAGUGCAAUUAUUUCUCAGAGAGCCAUGCAGUCUUUUGUUCUGUGACCUUUCAUAAAAAAAGUGUUAUUUCUGCAACCAAAAUAACCAUGUAAACUGGAAUAUUUUAAUGAACAAGUCGCGUUUAAAUGUCAACAUUUCAAACAGAUAAACUCACAAUCAAAGGCACUUUCAUCCAGCUUUAUCUUUGAGCCCCUCAGUGCCCUGAUUUAACACAGUUAUCUGUGCUGAGAAUAGGAUAGUAUGUCUACUUUGUAUAAUCCACUCAUGAUCUCUUCUCCUUUAGAAAAAAAAGCAAGAGCUUUAAUUUCUAUUGAUGAAAAAUGGAGCAGCAGCGUGAUUUUCUGUAAACUACAAAAAGUCAAAAUAACAUGUUUAAUAAUUUAAACUCAAAUAAGCCCCGCUGUGCCGAACUAACCUGACCUGAGAAAAAGAACAUCUACACCGAGUUUGAUUUUAGCUUUGAGCCUGCAGGUGUUCAGAGGCACAUUAGUGAGAGGAGCAACAUACUCAUUUAUUAACAGAAUCAUUUGACAGCCUACAAACCAGGCCAAUUACCAAAUUCUGCAAACUGAGUAAAAAAAUGUGCUUUAGUGGCAAUUAGAUACUAAAUUACAGUGAAUGGCUCAAGUUAAAUAAACUGCUUCAAAUGAAACGUCCAUUUUCAAUGAGCUGAUCAGGAUAUCAGUUUAUCGACUAAGAACAGACACUGUUGACAUUUUGUUUGUUCAAGUAUCAGAGUGCAAGUUUACCAAGACACACAGAAGUAAAAACUGAAGGAAUAUGAUAGCAAAUAGACAAAAAUGAAAUGAACAUUUAUAGUACGAGUCAACAUUGAAAUCAAACCAACCAAAUGUGUUUGUACACUUGUGUGUUUGUCUGUGUGUAUUUCUGCCUUACUUAUGUAAUACACAUUCAAAUAUUUGAAUGAAUGACUCCUUUUCAUCGACAAAAAAAAAAAAAAAAAAACAGAAAAAGAAAACAAAAAGAAUCGGAAGCAGCUUUUCCUUUGCUUGAACAUACAACCUUUCCAAAUAUGUCCUCCAAGUUUCAAAGGUUUGAGUUUGAACACCUUGAAUGCAAAAUUCCUGGUGUCUGAAAGAGAUGUUUUCAACACACUCUAGAGCAUUGACAGGUUCAAAUCCACCAGGAUUCAGGAAUAUUCACAGAAUAAAAAGCAUGCUCUUUAUUUCUGUUAGGUUAUAUUUCCUCUCAUGUAAACAGUCAGGCAAAAAUAGCAUCAGGUCUUCAUGCAGACAGACAUUGCCUACAUAGCCAGAGUGUCAUCUGCACAAUAUAGAAUGUGAGAGAAGCCAUGAUUACACAUCUUUAUAGUACGCUCAUUAACUUAAUCUCGUGAAGGUUUCAUUAUCUCCACGUCAGAUAUUUCUGCACAUGAUUAUGGUUUAAUGAUCUCAUAUAUGUGAUAACAUUCAUUUAGGAUUUUUUAAUGAAAGCUUAAUUAGGUAAGUUUUUGGGGUUACAUUUCUGCCUUGGUCAUGCAAAAAAGUGUGAUAAAAAUGUACUUUUUGGCAGUUUCUCCUUCAUUUUCUAUAUAUCUACAUUUCAAGAUUGUCUGGCUGCAGACCUCCAUUGUCAGGACCCACCUCAGCUUUUACCUAAGAUAAAAGCAAGCAUACCAGGAGUAAGUUUUUUUUUUUUGUCUCACAUCAAAAGUAGAUUCAAAGCCCUAUUUUAUUUCUUGGGGCUUUAUUUUAUGUAUAUAAUGUUAAUAUGAUUUCUGGGUCCUGACAGUGGAGGUCUGCAGCCAGACCUAUUUCCUAAUUUUUGACCGUAUUUACAGCUCAUAUUUUGAAAUCUUUCACUUCAUCUUCUUUCAUCAUCUAUCAAAACUAAUUACCCAGCUUUCUUAGUUACUGUGUCAAGUAUUUAUUGUAUUUGUAAGUACUUUUUAAAUUUCCCUUCAGGGAUCAAUAAAGUUAAUCUUAUCUUACUUGAUAAGUCAAGGAUUACCCAGGUUGUUCAAAACCCCUUGACAACUUUUAAAAGAGGUAAUAAAUUCUGAAUCCCAAAAGUAACAUCAGAUGCAACUCAACUGCACACUUCAUAUCAAACCAUGAGGUUAAGGACGGGUCUGGCACAAUUUACUUCUAACUGUCGACACUCAGGCAAAGAGGCUUGUUUUACUCGGUAUUCUUAAGUGGUGUGCUAAACAACAAGGGUGUUUUAAUUUUGAAUCCUGACCUGCAAAACAGGCAUCAGAGCAGAACUGGUGAAUGCACCGGUAAUUUGCCUGUUGCUACAAAAAUCUUGCAGUAAGUAAAAGGCGGGGAACAAAAUACCAAAGAAGAGAUCAUGUACCCUUCCUCUCUGGAGAGAAGGUGGACAGGAAUCCACUGCCAUGGGGAGCUCUACCAAGUGUGAUAGUCAAGAGACUGAUUCUACCGACAUAAAAACAUCACUUUUCAAUAAAUAUUCACCUCUAAAUCAAUAUUUUCAGUCAGUCACUUUAUGACUUUAGUUGGCUGCUGGUACUGAAGGGGGAAAUGUAUAAUGAACAGGUAGUUAUGUAAAUCAGAAUCCCCUCUGGAUAACACAAGACCCUUAUGUUCAAUUAAUUGGGAUAUCUGCCCAUUUACCAUGCAUCAUUUCUUACAUAUGAGUAGUUUCAUGUUUAACAAUUAGCACAUUAGUAGGAGAGACAUACAAAAGGACCUUUUCAUCUGCAGAGCAUGUGAGACGCUGCAGGAUAUCAGGGGCAAAGAGCAGCAGAGAGAUGGGAGAUCGAUUGCAGAUUAAGAGCCGUUGGCAAAUUUAUUUGGACAGCUGAAAAUAUACUAAAGCUGGCUAUCCAGGUGUUAUCCAUGUGUGGAAAAUAUUGGUGUUAUUAAAUCAAAGAGAACAACCUUCAUCAACCGUUGUUGCACAGGGUAAUGCACAACACAAAGUCUAUACCAUGACAACGUGGCAAUCCAGUCAGGUGGUCUGGAGGCAGGAUAGCGAUUAAGUACGCCCAAGUCUUAAUCAAGUCUUGAACCCCCAGUGGUCAAGUCUGAGUCCAAGUCAGCAAAGAGGAACCUGAGUCCUUGAGUCACCUGAUUCUGACCGAACAGUUGAGGAUAUCCUAUUUUCAGUUUAGUGGUUCUAGUACAUGAGCUGUGUUUCGCUGCAUUUGCUCUAAAAUAUCUGAAAGCAAUUAUUGAAGCCCUAAACAUCUGUAGUGUAAGAGCAUUACGAUCCCUCACAGUGUUUUAUUCUCUCUUUUGUUUUAAGCUUGAUUUUGAUUUCCAGGACUCAUAAAUCUACUUUGGUUAGGGUGACCAUAUUCUGACUUCCCAAAAAGAGUACGCAACUACACGAGGGCGGAGUCCCGAAGCCGUACAAAGUUAUUUUAGAGAGUUUUUCAGGUCAGAUCGAGUGUCUUGUACACACUUCUAACUCAGUAAGUCCACGUGACACAAAAUCGAAACUAAAGUACAAAACUGCAAAAAUUUGAAGGAUCUUAUAAACUUCCCCGGACAGAGCCAUAAAGCCCAAACAGCCCACCAAAAAGAAGACAUAUGUGGGAAAAGAGGACAUAUGGUCACCCUAACUUUGGUUCAAGUACUGAUGGUUUGGAUUUGGACUUAGUUGGAGAUCCUAUGAGGAGUUUUUCUCUGGCUGUGAAACUGAAACUAAUACUGAUGCUUCCUGAUAAUAUAAAAAAGGAAACAAGCAUUUCCCAGAAGGGUAACUAUUUCUUGAUGAUAAUUUUUGAUUUCUGAAACUUCUGGUGGGGUGGUCGGUGUCAGACCAAGUCUUUAUCUGCAUGCAGCUGCUUUACAUGUUCUGCAAAGAUUCUCAUUCAGUGAACGUAGAUGAUUUGGUCAGGAAACACACAGGACAAUAUCAGCAAAGACCACUUUGUCCAUAGGGGGCAGCAAAAUCAACACAAACCAAGAGUGCUUCACAUGAGCUUUAAAUAAGAAAUAAAAAAGCUUAUUAAUCAAGUUGAAAGAACCUUCAGUCACAAGUUGGGGUUCACAACAGAAAUACCUCUUUUUCAGACUGUACAGUAUCAAAUAAGUGUCUGCAUACAGUGGUAGCAGCUGCCUCAACAAUAACUACAUAGAUUCACUGCAUGUAAAGUAAUAUGUUCAGUCAUUAAUGUUGGUCAGAGGCCACUAUCCCAGUGUGAGUUAAAAUUUCUUAGUAAUAAACCAAAACCAUUUUGAAAAGAAAGUGUCCAAGCCUACAGCAGCAUUUCUGCUUAUUUUAUACCAAAGUUCAACAGUAAAAGAGAAGAAAGACCUCAUACGGUCCUGCUACAGUUCAUCACCCUCUGCAGCUCAAUAUAUAUACACCGCAUAUGCUUCAGUGACUCUCUGAAUACUUUCCACCCCAAAUAUAUUCAAAUAUCACAUAUUGCAUAUUAGAAAACGAUAUUUGAAAUUGAGUUGGGUAUAAAGGAUUAUUCUAACUUCAGACAAACCCUGCUCUCUGAUAUUUUGGGUAACCUGUUCCCUGAAUAUAAUCUCUUAUCUGUGGUUGUGAAAUUAUUCAGUGGAUGGGGAUUAUGAAAUUUAAUCUUAACAGGGAUUUUCAUGGUGAAAAUAAAUCAUUUCCUUCCUUAGUUCAUCAAUAUAAAAUGAUUUUUUAGAGAGAGGAUUUGGCACCUCAGAAAGAGACAGGUAUGAAUGUCAUUCUUCAACAUCCUUCAGAAACAGCACAAAUGUUCACAGACGCUUCACCAUCUUUUGUGUCACAGUAUCACAGCGAUUAUUUCUUGCUCCGUCGCUUUCAUCAGCUGUGCAUGAAGCGUAAUCAGUCAAAGUGAAGAUGAAGCCCUUGCUGGAAAAACCUCACACGACUGUUCAUUUGGUUUAUUAUGCGGUAUGACUUAAGCUAUCAUUUGGCUGUUUUUAAAUGUCUUCUUCGAUGUUGAAGGAACAACAAAUUCAUUACACAGCUUCUGUUGUUUUGCUUAAUAAGUAACAGCAAAAAUUAUGCAGAUUUUAACCAGGAAUGAAAUUAAGUGUCCAUCAUGUGAAUAUGUAAGGCUGUUAAAUAAUUCAGAGGUAGUAAUAGAGAGGGGGAAGUUCUCCUACAGCAGAAAAUGAAAUGCUCCCCAGUAUGAUUGAUCUGUUUUUAAGCCUUCAGCAGCACAUAAAACAACACAGCUCCUGUAGUCUCUUAAAUAAUGGCAACUUUGUAAUCCUCCAUAAAUCCUUUACAGCCUAUAAUUAUCAUGAUACACCGUACAAGAUAAAUAACUGGCUUAAAUGAAAGUGUUUGGUUUAAUCUCUUCGCCAUCAGGAACAUAUAUUCACUGCCCUUCAAUGAAUUGGCAACCAAGAACUGAUAAAAUGAAUUUAUGAUGGUUUUCCAUCAGAAUUAUUUGAAUUGCAGAUUUUCCUCUGCAAAUUCUCAUACCACAAUGCCAGAGGUGAAAAUCAAUGUCAUCUUUUAUUAUUCUUUCACUGUUAUCAUAUUCUCUUUCAGCACUGAGACACAAUCCAUCCCGCAUUCAGUCCACAGUCCAAGUGCAUCAUAGAUGGAGGAUGCAUCAUGAGAUGUAGAAUAUUAAAUAUUGUUCGGACAGAGGUUUAUCUGAGCUGCACGGCUGCUAUCCUUGUCUCUUGCUGAUUCCCACUGGUCUGCCUCCAGGCCUGGAUGAGUUUGAAGCAAUCUCCCUUUGGGAACAGAGAGAUUUUUUUUUUUACCGUUCCCUGAGGAACAGCAUGGCAGCGCUUUAGGAUGUCCAAAGAUAACCUUCGUGUAUCUGGGGAACACACGAGAGGACUGCACAGCAGAUUGUCCGUGGUUGUAUCUCUUGAUCAUAGCUUCCAGUAUCAGAUAACCAGGCUGCUAGAACUCCCAGCAGAGAUUUUUUUUUUUUUUUGCUAAAGUCACCUAGUCUGGACUUAUCUCUGCUGGACCUGAGAAUUUCUGGCCUUAAUCUGACACCAGAAUCAGCACAACUGCAUAAUCUCAGAGCCAUUCUCAAUGCAGAGUCAAAGAAAUGCUUCUAAAGAGCCCCUGGAGGAGAUGCAGCGGGUGAAAAUCCUUCUCCUGAGAGGAAAGUGUUGAAUUUGAUUCAGCAGAGUAAGUACGUAUGAUACUCUUGCUCCAUAUUGAAUUUUUUUUCCCAGGGAUGUUAGCUAUAUAGAGAGACAAGAGGAAGAUAAAAGUCAAGAAAGGUGGCAUGAAUUCACAGAGAUAGGGAAGGGGGCUUGGUUUGUUGACCAGGCUCUUUUUGAAGCACACAUCCUCUGGUAUGAGUCCGGAUUUUCUCUAUAAUCCUGUCUUUCAAUUUAGUGCCACAAUCCUGUGUUCACUCAAGUAAACAACCUGGCCAGCUACAAUUUCCUCUCUGUAGCUUGUAACAGCCACCCCUGUCAUGUUCUGAAACGGAUGGAUGCAUGAGAAGAUUCAUUUGGUCUGCAUAGAAAAGUCCCCAAACUCAGCGAAAGCUUGAAAUGCUUUGUAAGAAAAGACAGCAUUUCAAACUUUUUGUCAAAUGCAAAUCAUGUUUAUCAGGCAAAAUUGCAAAAGACCUAACAAAGAUAUUUUGUCUUGUUAUGAGAAAACAAAAAGCAUCUAAAUGCUUUAAGGAUUCAUUCAUUUUUUAUUUCCAAAUGUUGUAGCUGCACUAUUUAUUUCCAAUAACCAUACUUAUAUCUAUGCCCUUAUAUUUAAUAUAUAAUCUCUUCAGCAGAAUUUCAUGAAUAAAACAUUGAGUAAAUGCUUUAAGCUCUGCAAAUAUAAUGUAAAAUACUUAUAUAAAUAAUAAAAAUAAGAGUAGCCCAAGGUCGUAGCAAUUAUGCUGUCUAAUGUCCACUGUUUGCCUUGUGAUCUCCUGGAUAAAUGUAGAAAAGUUAGGCUGGCUUUCAGUAAUCACCUCCUGACCUCAGCUUGUUUCCUCUGAAUAGACCUCGGUUAUUUCUCCAGGUACUUGUGGGGAGUGAGGUGGGACUCGCUGAGUGAAAGCUUGGCAGCGGGCUGCUUUAGCAACAGUUUUGUAAUGGAAAAUAAUGGGGGACUUAAAUCACACAUCUAUUCACACAUCAGGGUGACCUGUACAAUGAUCACCCUGCAUUUGAUACUUUCAGCUCUUUUGCAGCCAUUUCCACCGGAGCAAAUGAAAGCUGUGCUUUUUCCUACUGGCAUCCAGGCUGAAGAAAAUUGCAGGUGAUGGUGGUUUUCAGUUGACUGUUGUGAGCUAUUCUUAAGCAAACAAAGAGAGCUGUAAUAAUGCCUCAGAACUUACUGUACUCACUUUUUCUUGUGAACUUUUUACAUACAAGCUUUGGUCUGCAUUGUAGUAGUUGCCUCAGAAAGUGGUGUUGUGUUGCUAUAUUUAUCCAAAUACUUUGCAUUACCACUUAAUAUAACUGUUGUGUUUUUUUCUGAUACAUAAAGUCCUUUCUUUAAUAUAACACCAGGUUAUAAAAUAACACUUUGAUAUCAAACAAAUAAAGUACAAGGCACAAAGUUUACCAUGAAACAGCUCACAGACAUACUUGCAUUUACAGUUUUUUGUGUUUCUAAGCUGAGCGAAAGUGAUUGCAAAUUAUUAACAUGACUUAUUAUUCACUUUUUAAGGGAUCUUUGAGUUAAAAGACAAAAAUCAGUAAGAAAGAGACCAAAGGCCAAAGGUUUUUAUAUUAAACUAACAAUAAGUAUAUGGUUGACUUUGGGCUUUUCUACUUCAAAAAAGAGUGCAGCACAAAUAACAUACCACAAAAAAGACAGGUAAGUCAAGGUCCAUGUUGAUGAUUAUCAUGAGAAAAAGGAAAAUUGAAAUAAAAGAAGGGAAGCUAAAAAUCAGAAUGAAGGAUGGGAGAACCUUGGGCAGGUCUUAUCAAAUUAAUUUGGACAGGAAUAGUGUGGCAGCCGAUGAGUUUGCUGUCAUAGAAAGCUCUCUCUCUCCGUCUCUCUCUCUCUCUCACACACACACACACACACACACACAAGCAGACCUUACUCUGACAUUACACCACUGUCAGCUCACACUCACACAUAAUAGGAACAUCCUCCGAGGUCAAACACCAGGCAGGACCACCUGUCAGACACCAGCAGGGACUGUUGCCAAGACAAGAAGAAAGAGCAGAGAAGCAGAUGAUCUGCUGAGGGAUCUACAAAUACCAAAUGACAGAGUUCCACUUUCAUUUUUGAGAUUGACCACUGCAGAGUAUAUUCCAAUGAUUUGCUGAUAUGUCUGACUCGCUGCUUCCAUGUUGCUUGAAGCCAGACAUUGCCAUAUCUGGUGCUGGAGAGGGGUGAGGUUUUUUUUUUUUUUAAUGCCAAGUUAUCAAAGCUAAACAGACUCUCCCUGUGGCUAAUUCAUUAGCUGGCAAAUGAACUAGCUAACCAUUAUGAUUCCCACAGACUGAGUUCCUAUGAAUCUGUGGUGGCUGCUGACACUGUUGUUUGUUUAUUACAACAAGGAAGCAUUAAGGGCUUUGAGACAGCGGCUGACAUACUGCUCAAGAGUGAGGUGAACAGCAAAAAUCACCUAAAACAACCGUUGAGCUCACUUUUUUGUUAGCUUAAAGAACUACAGACAGACAGACAGACAGGUGGCACCACCCACCUGCCACUCAGUGACUGCGGCAACUAAUCAUGAAUAAUUUAAGGCUGAAUAUGAAUAGAUGAAUAAUACAUAAAUUCCCUCUUUGCACAGUUUAUUUCUUGCACAGAAAUCAACUAUAUUGACCAACACAUGGACUAUAAAUGUGUUUAAUUUGGUUGUAAUGUCUGGUAUUUUGUGUGGGCUCCAAUGGGACGGACACAUUAUUGGAGUAGGCCUUAAAAGGAUGGUCUAGUCACUUCAGUAUUUGGUAAGUGUUGGCAAGUUUUCAGCCCUAGAACCAUUACACAGCAAACGUCAAGUUGACAAAGCCUUGUUUCCCUUUAGGCACAGCUCUUUAAGGAAAGGCCAUCAUAAUGGUCGUGUCAGUCAAAUAACUGAGUUGUGUUAAAGGUGCACAUGUGCUGUUGUUUGAUAAGAAGUAUCAAGCCAACGUGUACAGUGUGACAUACUUUAUUUCUGAAUCUAAUCUUACAGUAGGACCCAAUUGUGUUCUAUGUGCUUGAAAAUAUCACAGCCCAAAGGCUGAUCAGCCAUUUAUGUCUGUGACAGUGAAAGUAAAGGUUAAAGUGUUAGUCCUCUAUCCAGUGAGCCAGAAUGGGGGAGUAGCUUGUUUAUUCCCUGCUGGUAUUCACAGAGAAUUCAAAGUCUCUGGUCUAUCAGAUAAUUUGCCCUUUUCUCUUUGCCUGCCAUUUGGCCCCAUCCUUCUUGGCUGUCUUAUCUCUGACAGAGAGGACCAGUGCUCUCUUUCUCCAUCACAUACCUUCCAUCUUCUGGCCCUGACCUUCAGAUACAUCCUCCAUCAGAACAAAGGGAUGAAAAUGUGCACAAUGUCAACUAAACAGUUAAGUAACCAACGUAGCCCAUCUUCUCAGUAACACAUGUUAAUCAGGAUGUGACCAGAGUUAGGAAUUUAAAGGUUUUUUUGUUUGUUUUGUUUUUACCAUCAUUCACCUACUUUUAGCACACUGGAGUUAAGCCUCUGGACAUUUGUCUGUUUGUGAAAAUUAAAAUUACUACUACUCAUUUGGAAGAAAUUUUUCAGUUUUAAAAAAAUCUACAAUUUCGGCUGAAAAGUCACAAAUAAUGUGCACCUUUUGUCAACUGGAAUAAAAAUACCAGAGUUAGAGUUUGAGCUUUGAGUUCCUUUAAAGUCCAUCUGAGGAUGGAAGGUUAAGCACUGGCUCAAUCACAAAUUCACCAGAGCAGGCAAGACAAGGACAGUUCCACCAUAAGACCUACAGACAAAUAUUUGACAUUCUCAAAGCUAGUCCUUGUGUGUUGAUCAGAUCAAGCAAAAAGGAAAUUUUGCCAUGUUGUGCUCUUAAAGCUUUUAAAUUAAACUAAACAGAGAGGAAAAGUUGUGAAAGAGGUAAGAGCAGGCCAGCAAGACUUUUUCAGCCACAAUCAGAGGUCACACUGAGCAGAGACAACACCUCGGGGCAGCAGAAUUGCUCAGGCCACACUUUAAAAUCACAUUGCUUUUUUCACAAAGAGGCUCAACAGUCACUGAAUUAUAUCCAAAUUAGCAGGAAAUAGACCACAGAAAGGAAAAACAACUUGUUUUGAGUAUGUUGUUUCCCCUAUACUGAGCCCAACUGACCUGGGCUGCACUACGCUGCUGCCACCUUCCAAACACAUAUCCUGUGGGAGAUAAACAGCACUGCUCGAUGGAGUAGAGACACAACGCUGACGGAACAGACUCAACACGGAUCUUGUAUGUUUUCCACUUUAGAGUCAACUAAAAACCAGAAAAUUCAACAGUUUAACAAUUUGAAAAAAGUAUCAUUCAGUAAAUCAGAAAUGUAUCUUUGCCCAAAGUGCAGCAUUAAACUCAGCAGUAAAAACUAAACUUUCAAGAGGGAAAGGUUUAGUUUAAAUAUGGCAUGCUUUUCCUUGUGUGGCAAAGAACUGAUGAUGGUCUACUAAAAAAGAAAGCAAAUGUUAAAUGUUGACCAGAGUGAGUGUGUUUUUUUUUCUCUUUUUAAUAAUUUUUUUUUUAUCCUGCAAGCUCAAGGCCAUUUGAUGAAUCACAUCUUUCCCAAAACACUGAAAAGAGUAUCUGACAGCAUUAGCUUUGAUCAGAAACAACAAGAGGUCCAGGUAUUUUUUAUGUGAUUUUAUGUGACUAUAAACAGCAUGAACUGUUUAUGGUCUGUUGUUCUCCCUGCUGUUUGCGCAUGUAUCUUGAUUAGUCCACUGAAAAUAUUUAACUCUCCAUUCAGAGCUAAUAUUUAAUUAUGUACCUUCCCAUUCUGCUGUCAUCAGCAGUCAUACACUGUUUUCAACAAACAAAUCAUAGUUGCUUGCUAAUGAAUCCAUUAGAAUGCAACAAUAAAGCCAGUAACACCUCAGGCCAUGUGUGUGUUGAUUCUUUUAAUGUGUCUGAUUUUGCACUGUACCUAAGAACAAGCAACACAAACAGUGCUCUGCUUUCAAUAUAAUUAAGAAAUAAUGGUACAACAGUAAUGUCGUACAAGCCAAUAAUGUUGGCCUUAAGUCAAUAAUAAUUGAUUUGGGAAUGACCUCAUUAAUGACUAAGGCAAAACCUCAUGUUGGUUUUUUCUUGGAGAAAUUCAAGGCUGUGGGGUUAUUCAAUGGAAAGUUAAUACUCAUACUGAACAUGUUCUUGAUAUCCAACAUGUGCAUAACUCGGAUCAUUCUCAUUUGAUUAAAGGACUGCAAGAAAUAUGUACUCCAAGUCUGAGUGAGAUUCUAAAAUUGAUUCCUCUUUCCCACCUACAGCAUAUAAUCAAGCAAGUUGGCUUAGCACAGUUUAAAGAAGCAGCAGAAGAGAAAGGGAAAACAGCCUGACUUGAAAGUUUUAGCUAAUUUGCCACAAAAAAAAAACAACAUAAAUGGUUGAUUUUGCAUUAGAGGUGCUGGUUGGCUUAUUUUGUGACCUCUUGACUGAGCUGAGCCUGAUUUCUCACUACUAGAUAAACUAGCAGUAGCGUUGUAUUUUCAGCACAAGUGGGUGUUAAAGCUAUGCCUAUUAAAAGCAUGCUUGGAAACAUAACUUGUCUUAUUUAAUGCAGCAAACAUAUGCAUUCAUAAACUCAUUCACAAUACAAACACUCAAAACUAUACGUAUGUUUGGAUUAAGAGUCAACAGAGAAAUUAUUACUCAGAAAAGUUUAGUAUGUCUCAGGAGGCAUAACUCAGCUGCCUGACAAACAGUGUUACAGUCUUCAAGACUUUUUGAGUAACUGUUGAUGCAUUAACAUACAGAUUUAUUUUGAGGAUAUGCAUUAUGUGCAAUUUUUAUGGGUUGUCAAAAUGUUGACGCACAAGCUAUUCUGACGGUGAAAUAAAUAAUAUAAACUCCUGCAGCAUCAUAUCAAACAUAACCAUUCAACCAAUGAUGCUUAUUCCAGAAGCAGGACUGCUACAAACUUUCAUUUGCAUACAAAUGCAUCGUGAUUUUUGGCUGAGGCAACCAAGAGGAACCAUCAUUUAAUGAUUGCAGUUGGACAUAUUGUGUGGUUCUGCAGAACUCACUAAUCCCUAACACAGUAAUUGUUGGAAGCACACAGGGUUGUCAGAGCAUGCAAAAGGCCUGAUUAGCUCUCACCUUACACCAGUCAGCUCUGUUCACACAUUUCAUGAACCCUUUACAGAAGCCUUCUCAUUAGUUACAAGACUGGAGAUGCUAUCCCUCCAUUUGAGCUGUUACUUUUACCUCUCCUUUUCUUCUCCAUCACGCAGCAGCUGCUUUUAAAUGUACACGAGGGAUUUUUGAGUUUCAAGAGGCAGACCAAUCCACCACAAAGCCUGAGCGCUACAACACUAAGGAGAGAAAACAUAAACCACCUUGUGUGAAGUUGUUUGAAGGAUAACAGAAAUGUUUUUCAGAGUUAAAAGUACUGUGAAACCCAGAGUAUGAGUUGCACUGUCAAUGAGGACAGUCUUUUUUUAGGGAGGUCCCAGAGAGAAAUCUCAUUUACUGUGUUCCUGCAUUACACCUUUGUUGUGAGCAAUGUGCAGUUUCUGUGCAACUGUGCAGCUCUUUGCAGUAUCAUCCGUACCAACCCUCUCCUGCUAGAUACCUGUGUGAAAGUUGAGCUCAGCCUACAGUGGUGUGGAUAGUUUUGGGGAAUGAACGUAUCCAUCAUCCCAUCGGGAUUUCCCACUGCCUAUGUCAGUUACUUGUUCUCUAAAAUUUAAGUCUUUCCGAUCAAAACAGCACUAAUAAGGUUUCAUUUACUUGUUAUCUCACAACUUUUUUUCUUUGAAUGCAAAUGUUCUUUAAGUACAGCCUGUUGAAAAAAAGUGAGAAAAAGGUGGCAUCACCGGACUGGUAUGGCUUUAUUUGUUUCAGCAUGCUUGGCGCAUUGAAGCAGUCGCCUGCUUUUUUUCUUUCUUUUUCUUUUAGUUUUUUUUUUGGUUACCAUCCUUGAGGUAAGACACCACAACAAAUAAAAUAUCUCUCAACACUUUUUCCUUAUAUUGGUUGCAGAGGUAUGAGGAACACAGCUCAUUUUCUGGAUGACAAAGUGAAGUGAAGUGUAUCAGAUGAAGUUUGCAGAGUUGUUAAUUAUGAUAAUUACCUGGCUUUCAUACAAACCACCUGUAUAAAAUAUUGACUGAGUCUGAAUGUUUUCCAAAAAGCAAGAGUGGCAUUAAGAACAAGUAGAUUGCACCCAUCCUGUUGGUAACAUGACAAAAACAUUUGUUUUCAUAAUGUUGAUAAAGAACACAUUUUUUAAUAUACCUUCAUUUUGGAGAGUACAAAACCUUUAAUUUGUAAUCAAUGACUGACUGUUUGAAAAUGUUAAAAUGAUUAAAAAUAUCAAGUUUAGCUCUUGACAGCUCAACACCCCAAAUAAUCAUAGUAGCUAUUCACAGUUUGCUCCUGACCCUGACUAAAAGAGAAGUAAGGGUUAAAUCUGCCAAUCCCUGUUGCAAAAUAUUGACUUCUGUCUGUUAAUGCUUAUACGGGCAUCUACCCAGAGAAAGGCAAAAGUUUCCACGAGAAAACAAGAAGUUUUCUAACCCAGAGCAAAUGUCAGAAGGAAUAGUUAAAAUGACUGUGAAAUAACAGAAAUUAAAAUGCUAUUCCUGACCUUCCUAACUUGUUGGUGCUUCUGCAAAGGUCUUUUAUGACUCACCAUGGAGUCAUCUGUACUGUUAGCCUCAUCCAUGAUAAGUGUGAGACUGCUCCUGACUUUAUAAGUGCCACUGCUUGUCAGACUAAAUGGUCAGGAAGUAUAAGUCUGCUGAUAGAGGCCUGGAAUUGUUUCUAAAUGGUCGCAUUAAUGCAGUGAACCCACAGGCACACAAUAGAGCAGGCAGUGGGGCUGUAUGACAUUCUUUGUUUUUAUUGGGGAAAGAGCAGCCAUCUCUGUCAUCUCAAUGUCUUCAUCCGCAUGAAAAAAUAAUGCCGCCACCACUGCAGCACGUACAAUAGGAAUGUUGAGAGGCUGCAGACAGAGCUGUCACACGGCCAAGCAACUCCAACUACGCUCCUCACCACACAGAACAACAGGAAGAACAGAUUAAAGCAGACCACUGACUGCUCUUGGUGAAAAGAUUAAUAACAAGAUUCAGCUUAGCGUGUGUGUGUGUGUGUGUGUGUGUGUGUGUGUGUGUGUGUGUGUGUGUGUGUGUGUGUGUGUGUGUUUGCAUGGUCUUUUGGAGCAGACAGACUGUAAAUCAUAUGACUGUGUAAGGAUCUUUGUGUCAGCGAUUUCCAGCCAUUAGAAAGCCUUUGACUGUUCAAUAAUAGAUAAGGCUUAAUGGCUUCUUUGCUGCUGCUUCUGGCUGUGUCUGACAUGUAGUGAGAUAAUGAAUGUAAAAGAAUACUGGAGACAUGUGUCACAUGGUUAACAUCCUAUUUUGGUGCUGAGAUUUCUCCCUUGUUCUCUUGUAUCUUUUGUCAACCACCUGUCUGUUUGUUGUAUCCGGAAGAAAAUAAACACAGACAGGUGGUCUGACAGUGUUGUGUGUUUUCAAUAUUGAUCAAACUUUUUCAAAGACAUACAUGAAAAAACAAUAUGCUUUAUUGAACAGUAGAAAAACCAAAAGAAAAAAAAAUAUCACCAAGCAUGUGCCAUUAAAACAGAUACGGAUUUAAACUUCACCCAACAGCAUGUUAGAUGUGGUCACAAACACGAGUUGGGCCCUAAAGACGUCAGCUUUAAAACUUUUUAAAGGAAUAUUCCGUCGAAAAAUUAACUAAGGGUCAAACACACUGUGACACCUAGUUAGACACCCCCACAAGAGAUCAAUGUUGCCAACCGCUUGCUUCUCUAGUUAUACCAACUUUAGUAACAACCACAGGAUAGCAAUACACAGCGGUCUGGGGGGCCACACACAAACCUCAACCAAAACGCCACUCUAUAGCCACAAAUAAUGCUCAGAGCAGCACCUAACUUCAUCAACAGUACAUAUAGGGUCCCAGCCAUAGCACGAGCCACCAAACAUCUUUUUAACUUGGCCUGAUUUCUUUAGCAAAGAGACUAAACACAACUCAGCCACUCUCUUCCAGCAGCCGCUUGUUUGUAGCGAGACCUCAGGCCAGUCCAUUACAGACUGCUGCAGCUCAAGGAAGAACAUUUAUGAUCAUCUCUGGAGGGGGUGUCUAACUUGAUGUUACGAUGUGUUUGACCCUAAAUUUAUUUUAUGCCGGAAUAUUCUUUUAAAAUUGUUUUAAGUCUUUUUAUAUUGCAGACUUUGUGCAACUGUUCAACAACUCUGUUCACUGCCUACAGUUGAUUUUUUUCCGGACGUCAAAUUGCUCUAAAAGUGAUUCAGUGAUGCAGUGAUGUCAGAGCAGUCUCUGAUUAGUAAAUUGGUACCAGCUGUGGGCCUGGCUUGAGGCUGACAGUUUGCAAUAACAACUUGAGCUGGUUGCCCAAAACGAUAGACACACCACAGUCUUAGGCAGGCAAAAUGAGAAAUGUAUGCAUAAGUAUGAUGACCACGGUCUGCUUUCUUUCUUGCCUCAGUACUGGUCACACAGUCGAAAGAAAGCAGACCGUGGUCAUCAUACUUAUGCAUACAUAUUAUGUAUAUUGUCACCUUUAAAAUAUUGCUUUUUUUCAUGAUGUGUGCUGCUAACCUCUUGGCUGGGUCACCCUUGUGAAAGGGAUCUUGAUCUAAAUGGGUUUUAUCCAUAGACUGUAAAAACUAUGGACAACUUGGUUCCGCCUGCCGCCAGUGUACAGAUUUGAAGCCGAAAAGCUCUCGGCAUUUCCAUGAUUUUUCUCCAUUUCCUGAAACCAACAUUACGCAGUAGCAUUGUACGCACUUUAUCACUUGCGCAGUAGCGUUGUACGGUGGGAGAGUUGCAGCGAGUUGCCAUGUAGGUGAGCUUCACAAUCUAUGUACGCUUAUAGGCUGUAUCAAGUGUCAAUCAUAGAAAACAUGAACCCACUUUGAAUCCCUUUUUAACUUUUAAAAACUGGGCUGUACAGAAAAAAGAGGACUUGAGCGUAAACCAGUCUUAAAGUAACUUAAUGUCCACAUCGCAAACAGGAGGGAGAAAUUUGGUGUAAUUAAUUACUAAAGCUUGUCCACAGCUCCAUAAGCUUUGCUGGAGGAGGUGGGAUUAAUGACCUAUACUGCAGCCCGUCACCAGAGUGUGCUGUUCUCAGAGCAGCUUUACCCAGCGAGGAGGCAGAUGGCAUCCACUCUAUAUACAGUCUAUGGUUUUAUCUGGUUAAAUAACAGUUAAAUAAAUGAAUGAAAUAAAAACGAACAUUUACCUCGUGAUUUAAAACUUCGCAUAUAUCUAGUAUGGACACCAAACUUUGUAACUUUGCAGUUUUGUUGUAAAUGUGGAAAGCAUGAUACCACGCCUUUAAAGUGUAUGUAAAAUUGGUCCAACACCAAUGCAGCAACAAAUUAUGCGCAAAAUGUCAAAAUUGAGAAAUAAAAAUCACUUCUGCUAGUCCACCUGUAGAAGAUUAAAGGCAUUCACUGCCAAGGACUGUUCAUAGAAAGACAUAUGCAUAACUGAACUAAAUAUUCCUGAUUAAGAAUGAGAUGUAGUACACAGUUUUUUUCAGAAGUGAAGAGUGACUUUUUCUAGAGUCUGUAUCUUAUUUUUACUAAAAGCAUUUUUUAUUCCUUGCUGCUUUUCUGCUCAACUUCACUAUAUUCAUAAGACGUCCUUGUGUUACUGCAAGUGACUGAUGAAACUUCUUCAAGUCCAAAGCUCAUUGUCUUUUUCAGAUAAGCCAGGAUGUAUCAGCCCUGAAAGCAGCAAAAGUGCACAUUUUAUCACGUCUAUCCUGCAUGUUUGGACCGAUUUUGUCAAUGUUGGGCACAGACUCAGAUAAGAAGGGAGGUGAGGAUAUCAUUUCCAACCUUCUUAAACCUGUUCCCUUCACAGCACAGGGACACACACUGUGACUUACUGUAAAUAUCUCAGUCAAGCACAGCCAAACAAUAUGGUGACAGCUUUGCUUAGACUUUGAGCUGGCAGCAGAUUUUUGUCAUGAAAUCCAGUUGGACGGGAAGCUUUUGCAAAUGUCAGUGUCUGACAUGUUCAUUUAAGAAAUACUUUAAGUGUUUGUGUCAGGUUAUCCUUGUGGUAGUGGGUAGUAUAUUUUCACCAACAGGCCUAUUUGCAGCAGACAUAUUGCCUUGUCACAGGUGUUACUAAUAACAUUAACAAUGUCACCAUUGUAUCCAGGUGAAGCAGUAAGCUAUGACAGUUUGACAGUGAGCCAACUUAACACUACACAAUAAACACUUGGACUCUUCACGUGAAGCAACUUAAUGGAGUAAAGCUUCAUUUUAUUAUCAAGAAGAAACUUUCUUGGUUUAUUAGUUUUGUGUUUCACACAGCCGAGGGCUUUGACCCCAGAGGCUGCCAAGUCCUGCCUGUGAUUAUAUUUGGACAGCAGACGCCCUUUCGCUGUGGUAGGAGAAAGCUUUGUUUUGGAUGUGAGGGUGUAUUUUAAAUUCUGUUUUUUAAAAUGUGCCUCAAUCCACUGCAGAGGUUUUCUUUUCUUUUUAUUUCAUUUUUGAAAACACUUGAAUCUUUUUUAAUCUUAAUCAAAAUUUUCUGCGGCUCAAUCAUGCAAAAAGGAAUACUGUGCGGUUUUUAUGGCAGGUGAAGAUAUAACAAGCCAAGGUUAGUUAACCUUUCCUGCUUGUAUCCCUAUUUUGAGUCAGCAAGCAAUGUUAAUUAAAAACCUUUCCUCAUUGUGUGUGUAAAAAUUAGUGUCCAACACCAUUCAUUUUAACAAAAGUCAUGCCGAUGCUAAUAAGCGUUUGGAAAUGUAAUUUCUCAAAGACCAGGUUGCCAUAGCGAUCAUGACAAUAUGGAAAAAUUUGUGUUGAUAAUUUUAACCUUUCCAAGAAAUUCCUCACUAUUGCAAAACAACAAAACAAAAGGAGUUAGUGUAGCACUAAACCUGGUUGAAUCCACAAGAUGGCAUGAAUGAAACUAAACUUCACAUCACAUGAUCUGAACCUGGAAAGCGUGAUUAAGUUACUAGCACAUAAAUGUGCACAGUAUGUGUGUGUAUGUGGUAAGUAGAGAUAAAAAAAAAUGUUGGGAAAGCAAUUUAAAGCAUGUUCAGUCUCGGCAUGAUAAAAGUCAGUAACUGCAAAUCAAACAGGAGGCAGCCGCUGAGCCCAGCAGUGCUGCUGGUCUUCAGAUGAAGAAGACGACUAACAGAUCUCAAAUGAAGUUGCUCAGACUCAAGCUAAAAACACAACACACAAAAAGGCGGGACUCUGCAGUCCAUCAAUCACACAAACAAUGUAGCUGUGUCAACGCAAAAACAUCAGCACACUUAAAACACUGUGUCGGCCCUCAGCUCACACAAAAGAUUCCUCUGCCAGUGUAGUUUCUUCAUGGCAGAGGAGGGAGAAAUGGCAGCCGAUUUGGCUUGUCAGCAACAGUGGGCUUUAUUGUGCUUUCAAUGCCAUACUUUCCAAGUAAAUAGGCUUUUAUCUAACCUUGCCUUUACUUCCAAACUCCUGUCCUGGCUAUCAGCACUGUGACUGUCUUUGUGGAAACCGUUUUCUGAAGGUUUUUAAUCAGGACUCAGAGUCAGCAGUAGAACUGACACUGAACCGCUUAAAGUAACAAAUGAUCUACUUUGGCUCCUGUCUGUGCUUGUCUUGUUAAAUCUCUGUGCUGCCUUCGACACAACUGACCAUCACAUCCUGUGACAGAGACUGGAAUGGUUAACUGACAGCAACCACUUAAGCUUGGUUUAAAUCAUGUCUGUAGAUGCAGCCACUCGUUAUCAACAUCAUUAUAAAUGCUAAUAUGAGACCUGCUGAUCAUAUCCAUUGUAGUGUACUAUCAAUAAUUUUGCUGUUCCUGCUAAUAGUACAAGAACAGAGUACGGCAAGCCUUUUCUAAUGGUAGUAUGAUUAUGUCUAUUUAUAGCAGAAACUGGUCGUUUUGUGGUUUCCCACAAAUUUUCAAGGGCACAGCUGCUACAGUCUCUCAUUUAUGAAUCAAUUACUAGUAUUUACUUGUGUAGUGCAAAACUACAACAAAUUUCAUCCCAAGACAUCUGUGAGAAUCAGUUCUUAAGCUGACUGCUCAAGGACAACCAGAGAAGUCUUCAGGUUUCAGACAAACCUUUUAUUAUGGUCACAGGUAAAGUAAAACAGCGCUGGACUCAUUAUGACAGAGCUCCUAGGAUCUUCAUCACACCCAAUUCCUGGUGUGGUUUUACAUUUAUCUUCCAGGCUAGGGCUGCCCAUCAUACAGAGGUUGGACUUAAUACACUACCAAGUAUCAUUGGCCAGUCAUCUCUGAUGUGAACAGGCUAACUACUAGUGUUGUAGUACUCAAGAUUGGUCUUGGUCUCGAGAACAGUCUCAAGUCCAUUUUUUGAGGGUCUUGGUGUCGUCUUGAAAUCGAAGGCAUUUUCACUUGGUCUUGUCUCGGUCUCGCAGUGAGCGGACUCUGGUUUUUGAACGAGACCAGUCGAGCUUAUAACUUCACAUCAUUGGGAGUAAUGAUUCUCCCUCAGCUGCAGCUGCUGACACAAGUCUGAGUGACUAACACAUCCCUCCAUACAGAGAGAGGAUGGCGACGACAGGAGGAGAGGCUGUGUUCAUGCUCGGCACCCGGUGAAUUCAUCAUGAAAGGUGUCUGCCCACUCAGCAAUAAUUCAGUUUGGUUUCCUAAACCACAAGGAGUUUAUUUGUAAAACGACAUGCAAGCGAAAACACUCGGCAGUGUGCAAAUUCUGCAGUGCACAACUCACAGAAACAGCUGGUACGACUCCAAACUUUUACCGUCACCUCGAAAGGAAGCAUAAAGACAGGUAAGCUAAUGGUUACCAUAGAGUAGUGUUGUAGUACUCGAGAUCGGUCUUGGUCUUGAGACCAUUUUUUGAGGGUCUUGGUGUCGUCUCAGAAUCGAAGGCAUGAGUUCAGUGGAAAAGUACAAAUCUAACGCUAGCAAAAUUAAACAGAAUUGCAACAUAUCGUAUUAUAUCGUAGAGGACUUUUCUCUGGAGGACCACCUGCAGUUUUCUUCUGUAAGUUGUGAACCACAACUUGGCAUGCUGAGAUUUUGAGGCCUUUAGAGUUUCCUGUUCCAUUUGUUUCCCACAAAUAGUGGGAAACAAAUGCUUGUGGAUUCAUAUGCAAGGUGAAAAGGUUUUGUCUUUUGUCUGUCUGAUCCAAAUGGGGUGAUCCUCAAACCCUCAUACAUUUUACACUGCAAUGACGAUUUUGCUGUGCAAACAUAAUGGGAGUCACAUUUUUGGACAGCUAUUCUCCUCUGUUAGAUAAAAGACAUGCAUUGAACAAAAAACUUGGAACACUGUUGAAUCAAUGAGACUUGGUGACUUCUGUUUGAAAAGUUUUCGGAAUCAGAGACAAGUGACCAGUGGAAGCUGUGUUUCUACAGAUGAGUUGUUGUAGAUGGUGGUUAUCACACAACUAUUACUGUUACUAGGAGCUGGUGGUUUUUUAGACUCCACCAAACAAAAACAGCUGAAAGAACUCCAAAUGGCACAGAAAACAUUGUGGACUUUGCUUACUGUAAUAAAGUUUUCACUGUCACAAAAAGUUCAGUGUUACAUAUGUCUAUAUAUAACCGAGGUAAAUCUUCAUGGUUGACACUCCUGCACUGUGAAAGAUUUGGUCCUAUACUGGGAAUAGUUGAAACACGUAUUUCAAACAAACCAAACCUCUGGACUCUUCUUGGUUGCAUCACUGCUCAAUUUACAGUGUUUUCUGAUUGUCUUAUUUCCAAUUUUCUGCAGCAGUUGACAUUAGUUUAGUGCUUGAUUGAUUUCUUCCCAUUGCUUCCUCUCUGUGUGUACAUGUGAUAAGACAGAUGGUUGUUAAACAUGGCUGACAUUAGUUGGGAGCUCUGAGCAGAGAUUGAGGUGAGGCAGUAUAAACAGAUCUGUGUUAAUGGGUCUGUCCCUCAGGGUCUGCUGUGCACUGAGGUAGAGAGAUAGCUGUGGACGUUUCAUUCCCUGUCCUCCUGGAACGCUGCUCUGAGAAAUUCAAGGCAGAUUAUUGAUGAGCAGUUUCCUUAACUGAGAGUGAAUCCAGUGUUACCUGUGUAGGCACACGCUUUGCUUCGUCACAGAGAUCAUUAAAAUUUCAUCAAAUGUAGUUUGUUUAAUCACUUAAAUAUCCAUCAGAGUAAAUCUAGUCAAGGGCAAAAGACAGUGACACAUAGGCACGUUAAAAUGCCAUUUUAAAAGUACAAAAAGUCAUCCUUUCACUAAACCUGAGGAUUAAAAAUGUCUGGCUUAAUCAUUCAAAUGGUAUUAGAAAGCAGUUGUCAUUUUCACAAACACAACAAAGUCAGUUACUUUAGUGUUGAUUAGAAAAGAAACGAAAAUCCAAAUUAUAAGUUCAAAUAUAAAUCCAGGUGGUUUAAACCAGAACUAUAUUUUCUCAGUUUUUCUCUCAAUUAGAGUAAGUAAGUAAAGGUUUAUUUGUAUAGCACUUUUCGCAGUGCGGGUACACAAAGUGCUUUACAGUAUAAAACAUAAAAACAUCAUAAAACAGAGUCAUUCAGUAUAAAGUCGGUAUAAAACAUCAUAAAGCCUACAUCAGAAACAUCAGAAAUCAGUAUAACAUCAAGAGCACUUUAAUGUGUUUGAAACUCUGUAUUCAUAGCUUACAGUGCUGCUCUCCAGCUCACAUCGAGAGAGCAGAAUAAGCCCUGGUAACUAAAAGAUGAUGAACACAAGCUUGUCUAUCACACAACACAUAAGGAGCAUAUACGUAUACAACAGCGAUGACCCAACAGUUUGCAUGACACAUCACCUAUCACUUUCAUUAUCCAUGUUAAGUCAAUGUAAAGACGCUCCUACUACUCUAGCGGCGCAAAUUACUCAUAUUGGGCAGAAGCUGAAUAUGUCUCAACUAAUUCGGAUAUUCGCGUCACAAUAACUAAUCAGCACAAAGGUUGCCAGGUGAUGUAUGAAAAUGGACGGUUGUUGACUGGUAUCUAAAAUGGGAGACAAACUGAUCAUGUCAGUGUGUGGGUGCCCUGAAUUAUAUGAUACCUUUUCUUUAAAUCACCGAAACUGGAAUAAAAAGGAAAUAAAAAUCACUUGAUCCUGCCGGUUGAAUUGGCAGGGAUUACCGUUGAAAUUACGGUUGACGCACGAAUGAAGCGAGUAAAUAAAAUUAAUUAAUGCGUCUAGAUUCACGUGAAUUAAGCAAGUAGGUGAUUUUACUCGCACUUAGCUCCCCAUUACACAUACCAGAGCAGAUGUCUAUGUGUAUUUAAGGUGGGACACUUCUCAUACUGGUUACACCACUGAUACUGACUGUUGUCAGACAAAACCUGUUGUUAUAGAAACGAGUGAAAGAUUUAUCAGUCAAGAGAAUUUAUCAAGUGCAGACAAGAGCAAAUUGUUACAAUCCAUGUAGCGCCUUGGUUUGUUGCCUGUGUUAACCUAGUGGCAACCUCCAGUUUUGAGAAUUGAAGCCGAUGUGGAAGUGCCAAAAAAGGGCAGUUCCCAUUGAGUCUGCUUGAAGCAGGCUGCAGAAGCACCAGAACUUUCAAAGCCCCCCAAAAAAACAUUUUUUUAGAAAAAAAUAAGCAUGUUUAAAGUCAAAAACCAUGUUUGGUCUGAAAAGCUCAGAAAUCAGUGGAAACUCAGGAAUAGCUCCCACUUCACCCGCUGUGUAAAGAGUGAAGAUUUUUGUAUCCUGUUGGUGUUGAAGAUUUUGAGGUUGUGAGACUGGCAAAUCAGAGGUACUUUUGAUUUGACUGACAGGCAGGCAUACUGUAACUAUUAGCAAGGAGGGUAAAGGCCUGUCUCUGGUUGAUUGACCAAACGUUAGGCUGAGUCGGCAUUUCCAAUAUGGUGACAAACGCAAAAAGGCAACACUACAUCCAUUCAUUAUACAGUCUUUAUUUGGUCUUUCUGAUGACCUGUAUUCUCUGAAUACUUUGAAACUAGGAGAACCUCUAAAUCGUUCCCUGACAAAACUCCACAUCCAUGUUACUACCUCACUCAGUUCUGCCAUCUGUUUUGGUUUGUGGCAAACAAAACCUCUAAAGGGAAAACUGUCUCCAGGCUUGAUGGAGCAGAGGGGACACAGUUCAUAAUCCACCAAGACUUAGUGAGUUCUCUCAUUGCAUGGCACACCUGAAGCUAGCUGGAAAUGUGGAGGAGAAAUAAGUAGAAUGAAGAAAGAUAUUCAGAAUAUUUGAAAACUCAAAACUCCAUCCUUUGCCAAGCAGUCUCUGUGGACGCUCCACAGACAGCUGAACAGGUCUGAUAAGGAGUUAGCCAGAAAACAACAACAGGAGAAGAGAGAUGAGAGCGAGAAAGAGAGAGACAUGAUGAUGGUGUUUAUUUGGUAGAAAAUAUUUGGGAUGAUAUCAGCUCGACAAACACAUUACUUUUUAAAUAAGUGUAUCAAUGUGGUUUUUAAAUGUAGUGGAAACAUUAAUAUUUACGGUUAAAGUUGCUGGAGUAGUCUACAACCAAUUAACUUACUUAAGAGGAAGAUUAGUUCUCUGACUCCACACUUUUGAGUUUAACAGAAACAAAGUAUCAUUAUAAUAUAGCAAAUUGAUGAUCGGUUAACAUGAAAAGAGAAUAGAAAAAAACAAAACAGAGAUCAUACUAUAUGAAAUGAAAAAAGUAAAUGCAUGCUGUCUUCUGGUACGAUAAGAGUGUCUAAUUUUAGCCCAGAUGGCUAAAACUGGGAGUCGUUGUCAGUUAGUGCCACUGCUCAUUACGACACAGUUCCUGGACUUUGUCCUCAUAUCAAAUUCAUAAAUUAGCAUAAAUAACAUAAAUUUUCAACCCCUGAAACCAAGAGCGCAGAGUUUCAUCUGUAUUUUACAUUUACUGAAUUACAGAUGAAUAUCUUAAUAGUUAUAUUCAACACACAGUGAAUGUGAGAGAUGUUGCAUUGUUUAGUAAUACAAAUCCAUGACUGUUUUUCAGAGAAUAACUUUAAGUUAGUUGUUCACAUUAAGAAAUGUAGUUGUUUUUUUUUUCCUGCUGGGUCUAUCAGAAGUCAGGAAGUAAACAACAUCCACAGAAGCGGCCCAAAGGCCUUCAGCAUGGCUGCUGAGAUUAAAAUGCAAAUUAAUUUGAAAGGUUUUUGUUGUUCGCCUCCAAUCUUCACCUGAAAAACUCAAAAGGGUUUCUAGAGGUCUGCUCUAUCUUUCCCCUGAUGCCUCUAUAAGCAAACAAACAACAUUUUAAUUGACUGGGUUUACUGUUUAAUUCAGAACAUAAAAGAGUCAGUCAGUUUGAAUAUUUUUCUUCCGGGCCUCCAUAGUAUCAUUUAUACCCAUGUGACUCAAAACUGAACACAAAAAAAAAAAAAAAAAAAACUUUUUUAAACAGCAGCAUUAAAUAAAAACUGCAACUGUUAAAUGAAAAAUAACACAAGGGCCCAAUGGGCAGCUGUGACUCAAUGGUAAAAUCUGCUGUCUAGGGGUUCAUCCUGAGGGACCCUCUGGUACUUAAAGAUAUGUUCCGGUGUAAAAGUAAUUUAGGGUCAAACACACCGUAACACUGAGUUAGACACACCCUAAAUUAAUUUUGCGCCGGAUAUCCCUUUAAUCUCAAUAUUCCCAUUGGCUGUGCUGUCAGUGUGUAAAUGGGAUUGGUUGAUACUGGGAGGGGCUUUGCGUAUCAGCUUCUGCCAUCAGUGAAUAAAUGUGGUGUGAAUGGGUGAAUGUAACGUGAAGGGUAAAAGCACUUUGGAUGGUCAGAGGACUAGAGAAAGCACUAAAUAAAUAGUCCAUUUACCAUUUACCCAAAGACAGUUUUCAGACUGAGUGCUCUAUGUCAAUGACAUCUCAGGUGAUGUUGCCCACUCAUGUUCUGUGGGCCUGAAUCAAAAAGGAUUACUCAGCUUCAACUUUACCCGUGGAAAUAAGACAAAAAGACAUUAGCGCAUUCAAAAAGCAUACAGUAAUAGUGAUGUGCAACUCAAACUGCACAGAUCAUUUGGCUUCCAUGUGCAUCAGUGCUGUCUAAAGUGUAUUUAAAUAAACCACUUUGUACGUAUUAAAGGUAAAAUUGUCCCUUUUUAUAAAACUUAUUCGAAAAAAGGACUAAUUUACAAAAAACGGCACUUACAGCCAUACACAAGGUAAAAUUUAUUCCUCUUGCUGAGAGCUUGUUCUAACUGCUGUAACUCGAACAUUCUUGGAAAUGAAAAAGCUCAGACCUGGCAUUCAAGCGACACGUUGCACACUUUGUCCACAUGUAUGGAGCCUGCUUAUUUUUAUGUAUAACAAGCUCCUGGAAAGGACUUUCAUUCCGAAUGCUGAAAUUUGCAUCAGAUCUACAAAGAAUCCUCUUUGCAGUCUAUUGAUAAGAGAUGCUCCUUCGCUUGUGGAUUCAUUUUCUGUAUGUGAGUUCCAUUGAGAUAAAUGCAUGCAGCACAGCUCUGGGUAAAAGACGGGAGAUGCUGCAUCUCAGCUGCUCAAUCAGUCAUAACACGAGAGCAAACUGCACAGAACUCUAUGGCACUGUUUGUGCCAGAAGAUCAUUAGGGCAAUAUGCUUUGUGAAGGAGAUCUUGAGUCUGAAAGUGAAGGAAGAUGAUGGGCAAAUUCUGGUAUUACCAUCUGCAUUCCUUUCUUAUUGAAUUCCCCCCUCACUGUGUUUGAUCCUCAAUCUUCCUGAACUGCUUUGUUUCCAUUAAGUAUUUCCCUUUGUUGGCUAUUCUUACAGCUGCUGUGUUUUGCUGCUGCACCAAGGCUUCUUGACACGGACGAAUGAAAGGCCUCAAAGAAAUUACCUUGGAUUGGCUCCAUGCAAGAGGAGAACUCUCAAAAAGCAGGAACAAAAAGCAUUCGUACAACUUAACCCCAAAUUAGAUUCUAUAAUCUUUACGUAUUUAAUCACAGAGAAAGAGACAUUUAGAAGUUUUAAUGCUACCUUUGCUUUAUCUCCUUUCUUGCACAAUAGGUUUUAGCGAGUUUUAAUGGAGGUUUAUUUUCCAGUCUUUUGACCUGCUUCCAUUUUAUCAUCUGCAAGCCUAGUUAUUUUCACGGUCUUUCUGUGGACCUGCCGAUAUCCUGUCUCUAGGUGCUGCUGUAAACUUCACACUGUGCCUCGUACACAAUCAACAAUCCAUGCUCAUCAACCCUGUCCACCUCUUUUACUUUAAUCUGUUGUCUAAGAAAUAAACUAAAUGUCCUCUGACAGCAAGGUUUGCCAAUAGAACCAGCAGUGGGACACAGGAUGUUUUCUAGCACACUGGGUCUCUUAGGGUUGCAAAUUGAUUGGAAGUUGGAUCCAUGAAACACCUUAGGGGCCACAGGUACUGUAUAUCUCAGCAGAACCUCCAGAGAAAAAUGCAUGUUAGCACUAUCACAGUAAGUAACAAAGUUUUGACGAGAGUUUGGGAUGCUGCAAAAGAUUCAGAAUAUCACCCUUAGUGUUUGCUGUGUAGUCUGUGGAUAAAAACAAGCAAUAUGUGAAUACCAAGCAGGAAAAAAGCUUUGUCUGUUUAAUCCUUGAACAAAUAAACACUUGUUUAUCUUUUGCAGUGCUCUGCAAUUUCUAAGUAAUGAUGUGCUUUGACUGUGCAGAUUGUUUACAUCUGGAUUGUGUUGUAAAGAAAUGUAUUUUCUUUACUUCACUGACUGUGGUACACUGAAAUUAAUAUAUUUAUUUUUUCUAGGACACUUUUACAACUUGAUUUACAACAUCCUGUUCACAAAAUGUACAUUUCUGCUUUGACUAAACUACACCCAGCUUUUGGCCUCAGAUUCACACUGAGUGCACCAACCUUGUUUGUUAUAAACCUCAGAGCAGGGGUGAAAGUAAGCCGGUACGCAGCGGUAUGCCAUACUGAGAAGACAUAAACAGCAGUUUACAGCCAGUAGAGCAGCGGUAGGCAAACUUUCACCCCUGCAAUGUUUGUAGGCUACAUUUCCUUACCGUGUUACCGCAGGUCAGUCUGCACUCUGCAUCGUAACCGUAGUAAUCCAAUAGGACCAUGUUGCUUACGAGUGAGUCGUGUUGCUUGCAGCUGUGUCUCAAUUCAGGGCCUGCACCGUCGAAGUGUGGAUUUCAAGGGUGCCUGACAUCAUCACGCAGCGCUAAGGGUGUCCCAUUUGGCUUGCAAUUCUGGGCAUGCUUGAAAUGCAGUCCCAAAACCAAUCUGCCCCCGCCCUUUUUCAAGCGUGCAUUCAUGCACUCUUUGUGGCCUUGGAAUCCCCUGAACUUUUUGCGUGCCACUGCACAGCUGUGCAUUUCGGGUGAGACAUCAGAUUGCUUGGAGACGCAGCGCCUCUUCGAAGAAAAUAAAGCAAAUCCAAAAACUCAAGACAGUCAGCUCAGGCUCUAUAAGGGCAUGCUCCUUUGAGUCACUAAUAUCUGCACCUGCAAACCAAACAUUGUACUCUUUAGAGAAGAACUGAUCCGCUCUGAUAGCACAAUCAAAAAUAUUAGAAAUAAGAAAGUUGACAAAAAAAGUUGUAAACUUAAGAGAAUGAAGUCAUAAAGUAAAUAAAGUCAUACAGCUGCUUUUAUGGAGGGGGAAAUGGCUGAACUGUUCAACUUCAGGGUUAUCGGUGGAAGCAUCAGCGGGCCAUUCAGAGAGCUUUUGUGGUUUUUCAAGAAAUAAUCCAACUGAUGAUCAACAUUUGUGAUCCAGAGGGAGUCGAGCUCCGACGAGCACCAUGUCUCUGACACCCGAGUCGGCACCUCACUAAACUUGGGUGUGCUCCUCUUGUACAAAGCCUACAGGUACAGUACCUGCAAGAAUCUGAUCCUACUUUCACCCCUGCCUCAGGGCACUUUAUAUGUACAAGGACAGGGAGAACCACCGCAUUUCAGUCUCACUUACACCAAAGUUCAGGGGCUGUUCUAACUAAUGCAAGGUGCUGGAGAGCUAAAUACACAUUGGGAGUUUCACAAACACACACACUGUCAUCUAUUCACACACAGGGCUGUUCAGCCCAGCUUGCCACACUAGCCCCAAACACUUAUACCUCCAUGUCAGCACAAUGUGGCCCCACCAUCAUACUUCCGAGACAUUAGCAUCACAAAUUUCUAAAAAAGUUGGGUCACUGUGUAAAAUUCUUUAUUUGAUGAUUCGCAAAUGAUUCAAAUCUUGUAUUCAAAUGGAAAUUGUGCACAAACAAACAAACAAACAAAAAAAUACAUUGUUUGUGUGUGCAGUUUGUCAUUUAAUCCACAAAUACAGCUUUAAUACAUAUUAUGUAAAAAGGGAACAAUACUGAAAAAGUUCCUGAGAUGCUGUGAACUUUACCGGGCCUGAGCUAAUUCAAGAUGGACUAAAACAAAGUGGAAAACCGUCCUGUUGGCUGGCCAACCAAAAUUUGACACGCUUUCUGGAAAUCAUGGACAGCACAGCAAAUCCCCUUCUCUAAAGAAGAGAGGGAUCAGUAUGCCUGUUAACAAUGGACAGUUCAAAAAUCAGCAUCUGUGAUGGUAGGGGAAUGCAGAAAUGCCUAUGGAAUAGUGAGUUCAUAAGCUUGGUAAGGCCCAAUUUAAGCUGAACAAUAUAUACCGGUACAGGUUAUAGAGCAACAUGUGCUGCCAUCUAGACAACAACUUUUCAGGGAUGAAAUGUGCAAAAAAACACUUUCUAAACGUAGUACUAGAGCAAUGCUCCACAGAAGUAGAGUCAGCUGUGUGAAACCGGCCCUCUGUGGACAUUUGAUGCAUCUUGAAAAAUUACAACAACGGACAUCCUAAAGUGUCCUAAAAUUCGAAUAGCAUAAAAUUUGAAUGAGCAUUUUUUUUAUUUUUAAAACUGUAAAAUAUUUAGUUCUAACAUUUUAUAUAUUUUCUUUGCAAUAUUCUAAAUUAAUUAAAUAUGGUGUUUACAUGUUUCGCAAACCAUCAAAUGUUGCUUUAUCAUCAUUUUACACAGUGUCCCAGCAUGUUUGAACUGGGGUUGUAUAUUCAGAAGGAGACACUGGACAUAAAUAUCACACCUUGCACUUGCAUUAUUAAAAGGGCUAUAAACAGUACUCUAAAGACAACCCAGGUGAUGUCCCCAUAAAAAAGUUAUUUUUAUCACCUUGUCUGAAUGAGGUAUGUGCUCAGUCUGGAAUCCUCCUAAAUCAAGUCAGAAAUGUAUUAAACAAGGACCCAAGAACGGAUGAAGACAGACUUGCUUUGAUGUUCAGCCCUUAUUUCACUUGGUGAGCCUUUUAGUCUGAGUCAAUCCUUGAACUUGACAAAUAUGAAUCUUGAAUCUUGAGGUCUUCAUGUCAACAACAAGCAUUGUGUCUCAGGUAUGCGGGUAUUUCCAAAUCCACAUUUAACCAAACCAGAUGAUGCAAACUGGCUAGGCUUUCCACAGUUUGAGAUUUUGCAGUACGGUAUGGUGACGGUGACAGUACCAUACACCUCGGUAUUUCACAGUGACGGUAUUAAAAAAAAAAAAACUCGAAAGCCCUGGCUCGAGCAUAUUAUCUCUGCUUCUGGUUCAGAGGAGUCUGCCAUCAUCAUGCCAUGCUUUGUGCACGCUUCCUGGAAUGGAUCAUGUGGAUAUGGCGGGGCGUUGCUUUAGGGGUGUUUUAUACCAAAACUACCUUUCCUGGGCUGUCAGACUGACCACUAAUGUUAAUGUGAACGUGAAGUGAUAUCUUUAUUAUGGCAAUUCGUGCUUGUGUUGAAGCGUAACGUGCGCUUAGCGCGCCGGCGGCACUACAUGAUAUUGAAAUUACGUCACCGUGAGCUCAGCAAUCUCAGGGUGUCGCCACCGUGACUUUAUUUCAUCAUGAUGACGGUGUAUACGGUAUACCGCGGAAAGCCUAAUACUGGCACUGCUGGGAAAUUGCAGAUCUGUUGUAUGUCAAGUAAACUGAGGACAUAAGUUUGUCCUUGUAAAAGCACUUGGUUCCCCCAGUCUAUUUGUUAUAGUUUAUUCAUAUCCACACAAACGAGCACAAAUAGAAGCCCACACAGAUCUGAUGAAUGAAGGUCUACCUGAGAAAAUCAGAGUCUAGGUCAGAGUUGUGAUCUAUACUACAUUGUUAAAUACAACUCUGUGUGUCUCUUAUCUAUUAUCAAUACUAAUCAUAGAACUUUUUUUUCUUUUCAAAACAGAGGUACAAAGUGCUUCACAACAUAUUUUCAUCAAUACAAUUUUUAAACCAGUCAAAAGAGAUGAUUUAGGUUUCAAUAAAAGAUGAAACCCCAACCGUGAUAAAGUUUUGUGGCCCCCCUCUGCUGAUUGCCUGUUACAAAUUCUUUAGGUAUCUCAAAGGUCAUUACAUGAGUCAAAGUUCAACUGAAGGAAUAAGUGGGUGCUUCCCAAACUCAUUUUGAUAUUUGAACCAACAUGGCACCACCAUGUGACAACAAGGUCUGAAUUAACCAUGAAAACUGCCACCAUGCGAAGCGAAGCACUAUCAAAGCGAUGAAUAAUACGAGGAUUAAUUAUUUCUCACCCGUAACACCAAGGGAGAAUCCCCAUAUGGAGAUUUUAGUGAGUGAAUUAAACUCACAGAUGUUUCGGCAUCUGCUUGAUCCUUUUUGCAUUUGCCAAGGCAGGAUCCAUCAUCAGGGGGCGAACACACUCUUUGCCCCUGUUUCUGCAUGCACAAUUAGGCACUUCAAAGGUCUAGCACUUAGUCUACACAUAAGCUAAAUAAGCGCCUGAUGAGUCCUCCUUCAGCUCACUGUUAAAUCCGCAGCUGUUAGCUGACUGGCUGUCAGACAAGUCAUUCAUACAGUAGGAUCAUUGAGGGUGGAUUUAACAAUUGAAUUAAUUUCGUUUCCCUUUGUCUUAUUCAUUGCUCCAUUUUGUGAAAUUUCCAUUCAGCCAGUUCCUGUAGAUUGGCCUCAGACAGAACAAUUCUCCUGACCAGUGGGGAAUCGGGAAACACAUUUGAAGUUUGGCUGUGCAUGAGAAUAAAAAACAACAUUUUUUGGUCAUGUUUUGACAAAUACGGUUGUUAAGAGCAUGUUUGAGGGACAGGUGGGCAGUAAAAAAGUGCUGCAGGAGUAGACUGUUUCAUAUGAAUGUUUCAAACUCCAUUACUACAUGAAAACUUGUCCGAUUCAGAAUCCAUCAGAGUUGCCAGAAACUGUUUGAAGUCUGCAGGAUGAGUGUUUCCAACUCUAUUCCCACUAGGAGUGCAUUUUUUAUGGGAGCAUCACCUAAGUGUUAGAUAAAAUAGAACUUAAAUCAAUCAUCUGACAGACCGUGUAAAAACAGAUGCACAUUUCAGGGUGCACAUACAUUAGAUUGACUAUGAAAACUGAAAGUGCCUCGAACAUCUUGUUGAUUUUUUACAGAACGCAGUCAGAGAAGAGGGUUGAGGUUUCAGCCAGAGUGUGUCAAAUUUGAGGAUUCAGUGUGUGACUCUUCAGUUUUACACUGAAUUCAAUGGUUCCAUUGUGCCGACUAGAACAGAUUGAUGCAAGUACGAAAGACAAGAAUGACAGGAUGUGAUUUUUUACAAGUAACAAUUGUUUCCUGUCCUGGCUCACUGCUUUAUACCCCACCGCAAAAUCAAAACAUUGUGUUAUGUAAGGAUGCUGCAGCCAGCAGCAGGAUACAUUAAAUAUCAAAGUCAAAUACACUGACACUUUACAUUAAAACUGUCAAUCUGAAUUUGUCAUUCUUUUCAAAUGUGAUAUUUUAUGUAAGUUUUAUGUGUAAAUGAAAGAAUCAUUGUACACUUAGGAGGCCUUUCUUCCACGUACAUAUGUGCACAGGGCCAAGUCAACUGGGAAUCCAUUCAUUCCUAUGAGAUAUCUGAUGUGCUUACAAAGCUCCUCCCCUCUAUUUUAUUUCAAUCUAGAGUGACCCCAAAACUCUUAAAAAAUAAAGUUACUUUAACUGAUGAAUUUGUGUGAGAGUUUUAUUGCCUAGCUAACAGGCUCUUCCUUUGAAUCAGUUGACUGUUCUGUUUGUCAUGAAAGUAAGUGUGAUUUAAAAAACAGAGGAAAAUGAGGCGCUACACCUUGCUGGGACUAUUCUUUUAAUCUAGCUACUUAUGUUUAUUGUUGAGUGAUUUGGUAUGAACAUAUGUUAAAAGUAUUGUACAGCCAAGUUAUGUUAUUCUGCCAAAAAUUGUUCAACAUCAUUUAUAUUCAGAUUAUCAUUAUCAGUUUAAGAUUAAACUCAGUUGGAUGUCUGAGUCAUCUGACAAAAUGAGCCUCUCCUUCAAAGCUAAAGGUAUAAUCCAUAGUUCCUAUCCAUCUGUAAAGAAAUGCACUUUCUUUCUUCUGGUGUCAUCACCAAUGACAAGUCUGCAGACACCUUUGCUUUUAACUAAAUUUUAAAUUAUUAACUUUAUUUAAGUGUUUUAGCAUUUAUCUCUUUCUAGUUUUAAUGACAGGAUUGUCUUUUACUGAGCUAUUCUUGUGCUCUUAUUUUAGUAUUUUUUACUGUUGUUUGUAUUUCAUUUUAUUUAUUAUUUCUUACAUUUUAUUCUAUGUAACUUUGUUUUUAGAUUUUAACCCAACCUCCAGUGUUUCCUUAUCUAAAAUUUUAAAAUGGCAUUUCCUCAGUGCGCACAUUCCUGUUUCCAUUUCCUGUUUAUGAAAUCCAGCCCUUCUUCAGUUAAUUCAUUUUAAUACAUGUUUCUGUUGUGUUUAGAUCAUGGGGUGGGAAUGAGGGGACGGGUUGGGACAGAUUCGGGUAUUCUUUGUUUCAUUUAUUUAUUUUUCUGUGUAAAGCACUUUGUGCUACAUGGUUGUGUAUGAAGGUUCUAUAUAAAUAAAGACUGAUUGAUUGAUUGAUUGAUUGAUUGAUUGAUUGAUUGAUUGAUAAGGUAUUCAUAGCAAACACUGUCAAAACCUUAAAACAUUCUAGAAUAGAUAAAACAUUAGGCAGACUGAAAUCAGUCAACUCAAUUCAUUUCCUGAUAUCAUGCUGCACCUGACAAUAUGAACCAUGUAAAAGUGAUUUCAAAUACAUCGGUAGGUUGUGAAAAGUCUCAAAAACAGCUGUUCCCCCCUUAAUCUUUGUAACGAUCUGUAGUGUUGUAAAAGAUGUCACCGCUAACUGUUGGUGCAAAACCCAGCAUGGAUUAAAAAGUAAUCCUUCUCCCAUCACAUCAUUUAGACUUAAUCUGAAACCAUUUUCUCACACUUCUGGGACCCAGCGGACCAUGACUUCCUUGAGCUUUUGCAAAUGAAUUUCUGCAUCACUUCAAAGGCGGUCUGCCGCAGCCAGAGCUGCACUUUGCAGCAUUUGUAGCCUGCCAGCAUCAACAAGUUCAGUUGGAGGCUUACUCACACCCUGCAGUGAUUCUCCGAGGAAAGUUGUAAGCAUUUUGAACUGUUUGCUCUCCAUGACUCUUAAAUACAAGACUGUUAAAGUGGAAAAAAGUUCAACAAUAUCAGCCUCUCUCUGUUUGCUGCAACAGAAAUAAAAAAAUUUGCAUACCCACUGUGUCUUCUUAUUUUACCACAGCCAAACUAAGCCGUUUACAAUAGAUAGUGAUGAAAAAAACAAACCAUUUUAUUUUUACAAGCUUCUCUUGGGUCUCAGAUUUUGGAGGCAAAAUGUGUGUUAUUAUGCAUCAUAAGUUUUUAUUAAACAAGGGGUUUCAACACAAUAAAUUUCAUUUUAAGAAUCACGCCAAUUUGCAAAGAUUCAUGCGCAAGAGGUGUUAGACAGCGAAGGUGACAGACAGCAGAGGGAGGCUACGAAAGCAGUCCUCAGGCACUUUUGCUGUAAGAGCCAAGGAUAAAGUAAAAAUGCCUUUAAUAAAUCAGCGUAUCUCAUAAAAGCCCAACGAAACAAGAAAAAACGCUGACCAGUCAGGGCAAUGACAUGGUUUCCCUUAGGAUACGGACAAAAAAGCAGUGAGAGGUGAGAUGCAUAUAACAUCACCUUGCCUGGGGGCUUGAUUACAUCAGCAUUCGGAAAAGAAAAACAAACAUUAGAUAACAUUAUUAGUUAGGAGCUGUGAGAAUCCAAACAGUAAACUCUUACAAUCUAUCUCUCCAUUAAAACUUAAGUACACCAUCAAGUCCCCAUUAGUCUUAUGUUGAAGCAGUUUCUCAUGAUGGUCACCACCUCUAAGUUAGCUUCACCACGUUUUAUAACCUCUGCUUUCAGUGGGCUGUUAUUGUCCUGGUGGCCAGUUUUGCUUUUUUCACUCUAAUAUCCAUUCUUUGAGGUUCGUCAUUGAGAGUAUGUAAAAGCAGUUGUAAGGGUAAGUGAGAAGUGUUUGUUUUGUACAAUUCUUUUGUUUUUAGAUAAAGAAACCCUGUUUGUCUUGGUAAAUGUUGAAGCAGAGAUUACUUGCCGAUUAAAAGUCCCAGCUAAACCCCGAAAGCUAAAGGGGGAGGGGCAUUUGCGUAGAUUUUUCUGUCAAAAAAAAUACUUGAAAUUACUAAAGUACUACAUGAUAAAGGUAGUAAAUUACAAGGAAAGUCACUGUGGCACUACUUUUUUCUUCAAUACUCUCAGAAAUGUAUCCUGGCUGCCUCUCACCUCACACCUUGCAGUUAGUAUGUUCGGUCUUACCUCGAUUGACGGGUUGUGAAGCUUUGGCGGUCUGUACCUGGAUCACUGAUGUUUGCAGCAUGCAUGCUGUUUAGGUGCUGGGUGCUUGGUGGGAUUCUUGUUGUUGGAGAAAGUUUCCCCACUUCACAUAGACUACAACACCAUCAAGUUCUUGUCCUGUAUCUCUAGGAGGAAAAUAUACUGUUGGUAUUCCCGAGACAGAAAACUCUAUUAUGCACUGAGCAGAACACAAUAUCCUUUCUAUCAUGGGUUAUGGAAUUUGGAAAGAACUUAAAUAAACUACAAGCUACAACAAUUCAAGGUGAAGUAACAGCAUUAUAUUCCUUUUUAACACUGCUUUUUGUAAAGUAUGCUCGGAAACUCUGUGGCUGUUUGAACAUUUAAGAUUUGCUCUUUCUAUAAGGGAAGCAAAUUCUAUCUAUUGCUCCAAAUAAACCAUAGUUUAUACUAAAACCAUAGUUUUAGAGAAGAUGAAUUGUUAAAUUUGUCAUCACAUCAAUUAGAUUUUUUUUCCCCCCAUUCCAACCCCUAAACUGUGAUGCUGAGAAUGUGCUUAUACAUUUUAUCUGUUAAAGGGAAACUGAAAAAGAAAGGAACAUGAGUCACAGCCUAGAUCUUCAAGAAGUGUACCACUAAUCUAUGUGAUGGUUAAUCUGUCCAUCUCGAUGUAACCUUGCCCUAAGAGUGUGGCUCCAAGAUGUCUCUUUAAAGCAUCCUCAUCACCAGGAGGCAGGAUGAAGACUUUCUAUCUGAAACUCUUACAUUUACCUUUGCUGCUAUAGCUCUGAUAUUUUAUAUUCCUGCAUAAUUUGUAAUAAAAAUUCAACCACUGAUUUCCAGAAGAGUACACAGAAGCUCUAAAACAUCCUCGUAACAGGGAGCAGCUGAGAGUUUACUGGCUGAAUUUACACCUGCCUUAAGCAGAUUGUACCAGCCUAUUAACAGACUAUUACCUGCUGUGUUCACACACGGUAACAUCCAGACUUUACACAGACUUUUUUCUGGAGGGUUAGCAGAAAAAAAACGUCUGCAUAAAGCUGGUGUGAAGAAUUUCAACUAUUUUUGUUCACGCGUUCAGCCCACCCUGACGGUGUAAUUUUCUGGUGUGCUCAAAAGAGGCUCAGGCUUCAACAGGAUGAACUAAAGGCAAACCUGACAAAGGGUUAAAUGCAUUUGUCAUACUAUUCAUCUAUCCGUAUGAUGGUGUCAUUUUUAGGGUUAUUUGAUCUUGUCAUGUUCUUGGCUUGGCUUCUGUAACUGACCAUAUCCUAGGCAAGUUGGACAGUCCAAAGAUCCGUUAGGCUGUAAUAUAAAAUAAAUUUGUAAAUUAAAGGGGAAAUCUCUGUUUGGUGAACCCUUGACAAACUUGAUGGUUUAAAACGGAUAAUUUCACUGUUCAAUACUUAUCCACUUGAAGAUUUCAGUUCCAUUAGUUCCAUUUUCAUCUCUAAAAAGCCCUAAUAAUGAUGGUGUAGCUCUUGUAACCAGUAUAUAAUAAUUCAGUGGUGGAUUACAGACAUUUCCUAUUGGGCUAACAGCAUUUGAAUCAUUAAUUGUCCUCUGUGACUGUGUAAUUAAAGGGAAGUUAAAUAAAAUGAGAGUGGUUUAAUUUUAAGUGCCUGCUCUUUCGUUUGAAAAAGCCUUUUCUGUUUUAAUACACAAACAAGCAUAAAAUAAGCCCGAAUAGACAUGUUUUUGUUUUGUUUGUUUUUUUCCAUUGGAACUGUUUCCCCCUCGGGCAUCAGUAAAAUCUGUGAGGGAAACCUGGAGUCGAGCUGCGUAAUGUAAUAGCCACAAUUACAUUGUGUUCAGAUGUGCCUUUUGGUCUGCUCAGCAAAAUUGCUUCAGUAGCCAUCUGUUUGCUCUUUGUCUGUUUUUCUCUCUUUUCGAUUGUGUUAUCAAGAGCAGCUAAUCACAAAGCUGUGAUGUGCACUGAACAAAAUACAACGCACAAUUGAACAAAAUUAACACUGCUGGAGAGCGUUACUAGGAAGAGAACAUAGGCCUGUAUCUCUGAAUGCGAAACGCCCGAAGAUAUCCCUUUAUGUUGUUCAUUUUCUUUGCUGAUUCCCCAGGUUUCAGGUAGAAAAUCAUCAAGGUAAACAAAAACCUUUUUUCAUAGCUUUAAGUUAUGUGAGAUAGACAUAGCAAAGACUUCUUUUCAUGAUAUACCACUUUUUAUUGACCACAAAAAUCUUUUUAAUCUUGUCACAGUAAUGAGUUCCCAUGGUGCCUGAACAGCUGCUACACAAUCCAUACAUCGAAUCAAAAGACAGUGUGUGAGAUGUGAAAGGUGUCCAUGGUGAUAAAACUAAAGAAAAUCAGUGGUUGAAUCUGAAGCUCUCUUCUGCUUUACAGAGCUGCGUUCCACUUUCGGUUACUUGAGGUACAGCAUGUUCUCAUGAACUUGAAAACUUGAAAAUAAAAAUAAAUCAAUGUCUGAAAGCUUUUUGAACUCAUAGCCAGAACUAAACUUCAGUGGUCAAUAGCUUGUGGCCAAAAUUGUGGCCGUUGAAUUCCCACAAGUUAAUGAACUCUUUGAGAAUCUUUGACUAAUGUUUACUAAUGUUUACUGUUUACUAAGUAUGGAGGCAGUACAGUGACUCUAAUAUUUGGCAGUAAAAAUCUAAAUAAAUAAAAAUGAAAAAUUAAUCUCAGAAAUGAUUUGUAUGAUUUAACUAAAAUUUUCAGACAUUUAAGAUCAUAUUAAUUUAUUCAAAAUGUAUUUGGCAGUAUAAUUUCUUUUUAAAUGACAAGCUAUAAAUAUUUAAAAAAAUUUUAACUCUUUAAAUCUGCUUUCUAAACUUUAUUAACAGACUGGUUUUUCAGUUUCAUCUUUUUAUCACCGGUUUGAAGUGCAGGGGGAAGGGCUAAGACAUCUAACCUACAUCUAAUUUUCAUACAGGGAGAGAAUUAUUAAUAUAUUUGUUGUCUUUUUUUGUGUGUGUGUGUGUGUGAGUGUGUGUUUUUUUUAAUGCCAAAUUUGAUUUUUACUGCCAAAUAUUAAAGUCGCUGUUCAGGCUCCAUGACUAAGUUGGAAAAAAUAAAUAAAUCAAGUUUUGGAAAUUAUCAGUGUUAUGUGACCAAAGUCAAGUCACAUAGUGUUUAGAGACUCAAACAGCUGAUCACUAAACCACCACUAAAUGACUUUGUAAAAUUGACCCUCUCUUCAGCUGUGUUUAGCUUGGCUUCUGUCUUUGUCCUCUGAUCGGCUUUAACUAUCCCUAUAAACUCAGCAACUUUACUUUUGUUGUUACCAUUAAUAGCAGGUAAAGUCACCAGACAAUCCUAACUGAGCGUAGAAAGACUGCUUUUCACUAUAUACACGUGUUGUUGUGUAGUGUUUGAGUGUGUGUGUAUCAGUAAUUUUGUGUAUUCACAAAAUUACUUAACUUUUGCAGAUCUAGGUUUGCAAGCAUUCUGCCUGGGUAUUGAUUUUGUGUUUGCGUGUGUGUGUGUGUGUGUGUGUGUGUGUGUGUGUGUGUGUGUGUGUGUGUGUGUGUGUGUGUGUGUGUGCCUGCAUGUGGGUGUGUGUCACUGAUCAUUCCUUGGGUGUUCUGCAGAAAUAUAAUGGUUGCAUGGCCAGGAGAGAUAAUAUUAUCUAGGUUGCGCAAAAGAGCAGGCAGUGUCACUCGGUGGGAUAAGUGUGAGCCAGCGAUUGAAAAGAGGCCCAUUAUUGGUAGCCAAGGAUUUCUGAUGAUGUUUGUAAAGCCAUUAUAACAUAGAAAUUGAAAGCUAAAGGCUCAAUACAGAGUGCUCUCCACCAGCUCUGGCUUUUUAGGUAAAGCACUCCCACAAGGAGCCACCCUGUAGAGGGGGGAAAGGAGGAGGACAAGGCAGAUAUGUUCUACAGUUUGCAGUAUUUGAUCUGAAUCAAUUCAACAUCCCCUGACCUGGCUUUAAACAUCUCAGAGUGAGACGUGACCUGAGAAGUGCUGAAAGUAGCUCUGUCACCUGUUUUUUCUUUCUACUAUAAGAGCCUUAGUUUCCACUGGCAGUGACACCCAUAAAGGAUCUCCUUCUUAAAUUAUUAUUCCGAGGCUCAAAAGAUUUUUGUGAUAUAUGUUUUGCUUGCUAAUUUGAAAGCGCUAUAUGCUAAUACAGCAAGCUAAACAAUGGCUGACAGAGUUGGGGUAGACUGUAACAAAAAAGAUUAGACACUUAGAAAACAACCAAAAUUUAGCAAUAUUCAUUCAACACAGCUACGGAUCACACAGUCCACAAGUAAAAAAGAGCGAGCUGGUUUACCAAGUGUGGCUGACGUUAGCUAGCACCACUGGCCUUUAAGAAGUCUUGCAGGUUAACAUCCACAUGCCUGUACCGGUCAUGUGUUGCUUUAGUUGAAUGAUUGUACACCAGUUUACCUUUGAGAUUUUAUCUGUCUGUGUUGGUAUUCAGACAGCAGAGCUUGAUAACUGUAUAGCAACAGUCAUUAAUCAAAGCUAUAGCCUUGGUGAGGUGGCUACGCUAAAGCUUAGGCAAAACGUGAUCAGCAUUUCAGGCCUUUCAAAAAAAAUUAAAUAAAGUAAUAAUAAUAAUAAAAAGAAAAAAAUCAUUUAGAUUUAGUGAAAAUCUGUGUUCCACACUCAGUGAAAGGUAGACUUGCACACUUAGGGACACAAAAGCUCAUGGGGCAGGAAGGUAGCCUUUAUAAAUACAGUACUGCUUUAAUACAGUACAAGGACGUGAUCUUUUAACAGCUUUUCACCAGGGAACAUUACAGGUUUUAUUCAAUAGGACAGGACACACUGCUGGGCAUUCACUUCUGCCUUUGUAGCUUUUCCUCCUGCACCACCCAAGUGCCUCAAUGACUUUUAAACCCCCGCCUCAGGAUUAAACGUUGUACAUUUGUACCUUCAACUGGGAAAAACCACUCCAUACUCAUAGGAUGUGUGAAAAAGCAUGUAUCAGGCACAUUUUAUGGCUGCAUUUGAGAAAAGUGUGGAUUCAGUUAUUUAGAGCAGUUUCAGGUUGGUUUCUCGCAAAGGAAAAAACAGGGCAUACUUGGUUCUGUUUCUCUUUACAGUAUGACUAUAAAACACCAGAGAUUUCAGACCCCGCAGGCAUUGUGAUUGUACAUUAUACGGACAGUCAUUAUAGCGUGUUACUGGUCAGUCAGCUCCUUUCAUUGCUGUGGGGGAGGAUGCAUAAAUUUAAUGUUUCACAUGCUGGACACACAUUGGCAGAACACAAACACGAACAAAAAAAUAGGAAAGUUCCAGAUAAGAUAUUUAUAGAUAAGCUAUUUCACUCAUGCAUAUUUCUCAACCUCCACUUGGAAGAGUAUUAGUCACUGGAACACUGGAGGGCAUGAAUAAAUAUGGCCAUGGGUGAGUGCAUCCAAGGCUGGAGAGACAGCCAGUACUUUAACAUCUCUCUCUGAAUGGUUGGAUGGUUUGACACCUCUAAGUAGCUUAGAGUACAUUAAGCUGUACUGAUUCAUUUUCAUUUAAACCUUGAGGAACAAUAGGAAUCAGUAAGUUUAAUUUGAAAGGCAACAAAAGGAUGUAGUUUGACUGUCAGAAGUGGAAAGCUGACAAAGAAGAUACUUUUUAAGGAGAGUGUAGUAAAGUUUUUUUUAUUUCUCAGCCUGGAUAUGCUGAUUCAUCUCUCAAAAUGUUUCAUUUCACCCUUGAGACAGCGUCCCUUGAAAAGCAAAGCUGGAGGCACCCAGGCAUGAAGGAGAUACACAUUCACAGAAGGUGUUCACUGAGAAGCGCGCACACACACACACACACACACACACACACACACACACAAACACACACACACACACACACACACACACACAAUCACACAUAUCAUCAUAUAUACAAUACUUGCACGGGCACUGAGCAAAGUACAGGUCCUUUUUAUGCCCAUUGUGUGUUUCUCAGUCCGUGGGUCAUUGUCUGUAGGAAUGUCAUUUGCCAGAACGUUUUAUGACACUGACGGUCAUUCCCAUAAGCCCCCGGGGCAAGACAGAGAGGAAGAACUCAUCUUGGUAUUAAAGCUAUAAAUAAAAUCAUUGGACUUGUGAUAUUGUUUCAAACCUGGGGGCUGUUUGCUCAUCCUGCUGCUGUGAAGGACAAUUUUCAUCUUUUGACAGGUGUUGAAGGAUUGUUGUGGACCCUCUGGCAGUCUCAGAGAAGCUCUUUGUUCGUGGGCUACGGACCAACUGGACCAACUGUGACUGAGACUUUGGCACCUGAUCUGUCCUGUUAUCUCAUAUAGUCCCUUGUGCUAACACUCAGAGUUAAGCAGCCCAGCAGCACUGAGCCUCAAGCAAACACGGUGAUAAAAUACAGUUACUGCGCUGAGUUCCUCUACAUACCAAAGAAAGCAGCUUCAGGUCAGCUGCAAGCUGCUGUCUAGCUUUGAAGCAUUUAGCUUUGUUGUCCCAUUGAUGUUGUUUUAAUUUAAAAAUGCUGUAAAGAUAUCAGGUCACUGGAGCGUGGUUUAUAGUAAUUACAAUUCUUGCUAUCAUAUGUAUGCUUAAAGGAAAAUUAAGAAAUUUAUUAGCAGAGCCUUUAUCUACUAUGUUGCAGAAUUAAGGCUGGCCCUGUGGAAUUAGAUUUGUGUCAAAAAAAUCAAACAAAACUUCUUUAAUAUAAAAAAAACAAGAAUUUGAGAGAGAAUAAAACUCACAAACAAAGAGCUGGCAGCAAGACUGUGAAACGGACAGUGAGAGCAAAAAUCUGGUCAGCGAGAAAGAAACAGAGGAUAGUGUAUAUGACAAAAAGCAAAAGACCAGUAGUUUGCACAAUUGCAGAAAUAAUUUGUUUGCAAGUUAAAUGUUUUACUUUUGAUAGGACUUUUUUUUUUCUUCAGUGAGUUUUAUUCACUCUCAAAUUCUUAUCUUUGUUUGAUAUUGAAGAAGUUUUGUUUGAUUAUUUUUUACACAAAUCUGAUUCUGAAUGGCCCAAGCCUACGUGGGGCCCUAAGCUCAUUUCUUUCAGGGGCCCCCAUUGUCCAAGCACCACCAAUACUUUCAGUUAAUCUUACCCACCAAUUAUAAGCUUGAGUGGGUUUUACAAUCAGUGUUAUUUUCACACAUUAUGUAUAUGUAUGUAUACAUUAUGUGUAUGUAUAUGUGUAUGAAACGAUGUAACUUGACCUGACUUGUUUUCUCCUUCUCUGUCUGUCCCCUUCAGUGCCUGAAUGAUAAAUAGUCUGUUUCUGCAAAAUUUCUUUUCUUUACUGAUCAUGAUAAGAGGACAGUAGCCAGGUGUUACUGCAGCUAUCUUCUCUUGUCGCCACGGAGGCAUAGUCUGCUGUGAUUGGUGGACAGGGCAAGGAGUGAGAGCAGUGACUGCUCCAGUUGAUCUCCAUGCAGUUUACUUGCAUGAUAAAGUGACACUCAAGAGGUGAUAGGAUAAGGUUGCACAAGUUCUCAAGCUCCCUGGAGGAGACAGGGCCCUAAGCCGCUGCUAACAUUGCUUAUGCCUCGGGCCGGGUCAGAUUAUAGUCCAUAUUUUUAGGAUUCUGGACUCGACUUAAACUCCAGCACUGACUAAAUUUGUUCUCAGAAGAUGGAAAGGAGGACUUUGCAAGUUCACCUGCUGUCUUGUUCAGCAACAGUUUCUGCCAGGAUGCCAAAUGAGGUGCAGAAAUGCUGAGAUUUUACAGCAGAUACAAGUGAGAGAAGUGCAACAUCUAUUAAAUGUAUUAGACACCUGUAGUGAUGCCACGGCAGCAGAAAUAAUGAAUUUAUCUUUCUAUUUAGAUAUUGCUGCAUAAAACAUAAAGCCCUCAGUGCAUUUAUAAUUUAAAUCUCCAGACACAGUGAGGGGAUCAGUCAGAAACUGAUGUUGAUGAAUGACAUGUUUUCUACACAUCCACAAUGUCCCACAUGAUCAGCACAGGUUCAGUCAGUGGACAUUUUGGAGUGAAACAGCAGUCUAUCAAAACAAUUUUCACAUCAUAGGGACUUUGCUCUCAUUUGACCCAGAUUUCACUCUUGUGACUUGAGCACUCAAGGCUUCCUGAGUUUAGAGCUACUUGAUUCAUGCUGCAAGUGGCAUAUGCUCGUCCAAAAAGAGUAAGCCAAGCAAGCCUAACUACACCCAACUGUUACUGUAAACCCGCAAAUGGCUCAUUAAACCAAAUAUGGUUCCCAAGGCCAUGUUGCUAAAGGUUAUUUGAAAAUAUUAGUUGAGCUUGCCGCUGGACUAGAAACAAGAAGUGAUGCAGCAACAUGCCAUUAGCUUUAAACUUGAAGACCCACUCUGACGAAAAUCAUGUUUUUCUUGUUUUUCAUAUGUUCUCGUGGCAUUUUUGAUGCUACAGGAAAUAUCAUGAGAAAACUAGAUGUGAAAUUGCUUUUCUGAGUAUUUCCUCAUUCAAAUCGCUGUGAAUCUCUGGUAGACCCAAACGGCAGGUUCAGAAACUGUGAGAUUUCAUGCGUGUAGAAUCCAAGCUCCGCCCCCGGAGCCCCUCUAUGCAGGCCGUACUCUGUAUAUAGAGGAGAAAUACAGAGGACAAUCGCGGAACAAGUGUGUGCGUUAGCGGAUUACAAUGUCUGUAAGAAAGCUAAUUAUGAUAUUAGCUUUCAUCAUGUCCCGAAAGACAUUAGUGUCUGAGAGCUGAAUAGCUGCUAUGUUACCUGCCACUUCUACGACACCGACAAUGUUAGACUACAAGCUAACGUGAAGACGAGUUUUGCAGAGCAGCGUUGUCUCCGCCCACGACUCAGAGGCAAAAUUGCAAGUGAGCUGCUGGAGCUCUGCCGAAGAAAAGCCCUUGAAAAUGACACAGGUAAUGUGAUGUUUUGUAAAAAAAACUUUAUAAUCACAAUUUAAAGACACUUAAGGUAGUGAGAGAGAAAAAAAUUAUUGUAGUACGAGGUUUUUUUUUUUUUGCCAGACUUUGCCAGAGCCAGGCAGUCUGGUUUAAUUUAUCAUAAAGACAGGGCUCUCAAGUCUUGAACUAAGCUUAGGGGGUGGAAGGGUGAAGAGUGAUUAUUAGUAUAAUAAUCUAAUAAAUACAAUGGAGUAUGAGGGCCACAUUAAGUCUUUGAGAUUAAAGUUAUUAUUUAGGAGAAUAAAGUUGUGGAGGAGGGUUCGUUAAAAUCAGCACUGUGGAGCAUUUAGAUGAAUUGUACUUCAGUAUAGGUUCCACAAACAUGGAGAUACUUAAUCCUUUGGUACAUGAGCGUUACACUGUCAUGAGUAUCAGAACUUUAAAAAGAAUAUAUGAGAAAUGCUGCGUUUGUUGAGGGGAAAAUGGCUGGAAAUGGCUGUGCAGAGGCUAAAUUCAUCAAUGCAGCUGUUAAUAGCAAUAGCAGAGGGCUUUAGUUUAUAUAUGAGUUUAUCUGCCAUGAGGUGUUGAGGUCUCUGCAUGUGUAGGUUACUGACUUACUGUAAUCAUCGGGUCUAUCUCAUCCUUAUAAAAACCUGCUCUAUUACGGCGAGUGUCUGUCUUCUUCUGUAGUCAAACCGUAGGAUAUCAAAAUCCACCCGGAUACAGCAAUGCUGCUUUCUGAUUGGCUGUUCAGUAGAUGUACUUUAUCUGAUUGGCUUGCGCGUGGCACGCAGCUUCUUGACUCUCAGAGAAACUCAUUUUAUUCCUAUUUGUUCCAUAGUUAAAGAGGUACAACUUGGUGAACAUCACCAUGUUCAUUUAAAUGCCUGAGACUUGAGAGCCCUGAUAAAGACAUCUUCAUGCUAACUUAAGUUUGGCUGCCAACUUGUUCUAUAAGGAAAUAAUCACGACUUUAACAUAUGAAGACAGUGACAGUAAUUUUGAUGGAGGCAUGAGUGUAGUUGGUCACAGAUAACUGGGUGAGCUGGAUUGGUCAGAGGCCAUCUUGUAUCACUCUCCUACUUGGACGGCACAGGUCUUCAGCAAGAUUACAGGGUUGUCUGCUGCUCACAUACACACUUCCCAUCAGCCCACUCUCCCAUUUUCAAAAAGACUGUCUUCAGGUAAGCUGUUCUGCAGAGAGUGAUUGAGCCGAAAUCACUGCACCUUUUUUCUCUCUUUCUGCUCCAUUUGCUCUCCAGAAAUUUGAGAGCGUUUGCAGUCAGAAAGGAGAAUAAUCCUGUUUAUACCAUUUUUUUUCAAGGUCAUUUUAAUCUAACUGCUUCGCUUUAAUUCAACACAUUGAGGAGCAGAGUUACCAUAUGCUUCAGGGUUUCAGAUACUUUAAUGUAUGCAGUCCAUACUUGCAGCCACUCGUCCCUCUAAAGGACCUGGAACACCUGGGUACUCAGCGCCAGAAUAAAGCAGACUGCUUAAGGAUGAGGAAACUAAGAUUCAACAGAUGGUUAGUUUCUCUAUUUCACAGUAUCCACAGCAGAUGGUAAGGACUCUAACCCUCAGCCCAGGUGGAGAACCAAACAGCCUGGAUUUUAUGUAAGUCUUUUUUUCUCUCUACAAGUUUCUCUGGCUAUUUGUUUGUUUAAAACUUGCCUCUAAUUUCCACCAGAACUCUUAACAAAACUGCUGUGAUCUGUAAAGGUUUCCAUCCCAGAGUCUGUGAAUCUUCAUUUUUAUGGUGCUUUAGUCAGAAGACUAAUGGGUCGAGCCUACGGGGCCCACUAGCACAGCCAGCUGUGGGUGGUAAAACUGGAAAGAUCAAUGGGAUUUAACAUUUAUGCUGUUCCUGUUAAUUAUACCCCAUCCUAAUGGAGGUUUUGUUGGCACAGUCAUAACAAGAGUUGUUUAUGUCUUUGGUGAAGGGUCAUUACUGAGGCCCCUGUUGGAGAUCUAUCCCUUUUUAAUUAUCUCUCCAUUUGUAAAGUCCCGGUCACAUAAGCACUGCAUCAUGCUGUCAGCUGCACUGUUGAACUCUGUAAGGAAGGAGCAAGGUUAAUUAGAUUGUUAUUGCAAGGUUGUAAUAUAUUGAAUCAAAUCUUGUCUGGAAACAAAACAAUAAUUCUGAGUCAUUAAAUCUUCAAGAUGAAUUAAAACUAACAAACUCCUACACUUAAAAUCAACAACUGUAAGCUUUGCUACCUGGAAGACUGUUCAUGUAAAAUUGUAAUGGCUCGGCCAAUCAUGUCAUCUUGUUUUACUUUGAAAUUUUUGGGCGCCGCAGUUAUCAAAACACAAUAUUUUCAUGCUGCCAAUGCAACAAAGAUGCUUCUUGCUGCUGGUUUCUCUAGUGUCCUCUCUGUGGUGGAUAAACUGCAUCUGGAGCAUAUUAAUGCACAUUUAGUCCGCCUUUAUUGCCAACAGACGGAGUGAACGUUAAUACAAUAGUAUUCUUUUUCCUCAGCAUGACAUUUACCCCAUCUCCCUUUCUUCCAUUUAACAAUAAAAAGCUUCAGUUAAAUAGUUUUUAUGAUAAAAGCAAUUGCAGCGACGAUUAAAGUUCCAAGAAUCCUUAAUGAGAUUUGAUUUUGAAGUGUUGAGAAUUCAGAUCCAUACCCACGCACUAUUAUUUCAAAAUAAAUGAAAUCUUUGUCAUAUGAAAAGCCAAUUAAAUCUGUGUUAUCAAAAUAAUAGAUUAUCUUGGAAGUUGGGCUAAAAUGAAAGCAUUAAUGUUGAUUUCCCCGCAGACUUCUGGAGAGCACAAAAGAGGGUUUACACUUCAUGCUGAGAGACGGUUUUGGAGUAAAGCUAAAAGCUCCCCUGUCAGCAGCAAGAAGCUUCAUGUGGUGUUAAGUGCCUCUGCUUGAGUUUAUUGGAAUCGUUUCGGUUUUAAUUAUGGGCACAAAAACCAGCAAAGCUAGUUUAGUGAGACAAAAACCACUGAGCUUUGAUUGUCAGAUCCAUUGUAGUAUACAGUAUAUCAGAGUGAUAAAUAUACCGUAGGUAAAACAAUGUCAACUUUACCACACUCUAUAAUGCAGAUCUUUUAAUCACUGCAGACAUUUUGCCCAGUUGGAACAGGAGGUAACCAGGUGUAAUUAAUAACAUUAAUUAACGUCGCUUUGCUCACUGGACCCACUUCAAGGCUUACUGGAGCAUUUCAAAAGAACACGACCAUAUCUAAUUAACAUUAUUAGUCACACCUGUGAUUCUCUGUCUAUGAAAAGAGCCCACAGGCCAUGAAAAGUCUUUCAAACUGUUGUUCAUGAUUGCACUUCAAAGCCAGGUAUUCUUAUAUUUCACCUGCUGUUCAACAUAGCCAAUUAUUCACAGUUCAUAGAAGGAGAGUUUUAAUCACUGUGGUGUGUAGAUUUCUUACUUAUACUUAUGGUGUUGGGUAAUGAAUGUGUUUGUUGGUCUUUUCCAGCUGCCAACAGGUGGAAAUAUUUGGUUGGACAUUUUCACAGAUCAGACUGUAGUCUAAAAUGUUUAUAUUUUAAUCAUGCUAAAUUAUCCUAUCUUGACCUUUUACAUCGACCUGUGGUUUAUUAGCUUCCUCGUAACAUCAAACAGCAGCUUUAUCAUUUGUAGUAGAUUCAUGCCAUCAGCUUUCCUGCAGACCUGUGUAUGGUUGAUGGUUUCCUGCACCGACACAUUUUCAUUGUGGUUUUUUCUUUCCGUGUAUCGUUUAUACCAUGUCCUCCUACCUAAAUGUACACACUUUAUACAUUCCAGGGCUUUCUCACCCUCUCCUGGCAUUGAACAGAAUCCUUUUUGCUCCUCCGAGAAACCUUGUUGUGCUUUUGUCAUCUCUGAAAGGUUGUGUACUACACUUUUCUUUUGAGGGCACAGCAGACACCUUUGCUUGCCACUCUGCUGUCAUGUCUAGUCAGAAAUUACAAACAAGGCCAUGGUAAUAGCUAGUUUCCUGUUGUUCAAUCUUCUACCCUGGGGAUAAGAGUGUAACUGUGUUGCAAUCUAGGAUGCCAGGACUCUGAAAUGUCUCUCCAUCAUGCUCUGUAUGGAGGAACUGCAUUUCUGCAGCGCUGAUUGAGUUCAAGCCCCCAGACCACAUGCAAUGAUUCAGGCCAGCUCUUUAUGCUUUCCUGUGAAAUGAGGAUCGUGUGUGAUUGACAGGGUGGUAAUAGUUAAUGAAUCAGACCGGAGAUGUUGUCUGCUCAGACUAAAGAAACCAGCCAUUCUACCCCGUGUAUAUUCUGACAGCAGAAACAUGUACUCCUAAGCCUUCAACACGUUCUCUAAUUCAGGUAACAGUGUUCCUCAUCAAGGAAAAAGGUAAAAAGUGACUGAGAUCAGUAUUGGUUAUGUGAUGAGAAGCUACAGAUAAUUCAUUUUCUAUCUGAACACCAUUUAUAUGUCUCUGAUAUAAAAUAGACUGUCAACCCUGAUUUAAACGACUUUUGAUCAAACAAAAGGCGAUACAGCAACAUGUUCACCAGUUCUGCUUGCCAACUCAACAUUCAAGGAACAAAUGUAUACUCAUGUACGCACAUGAAAACCAAUCAGGUUUGUUGAAAAGCAAUGUCCCUACCGCUUUUUGCUCAGUUCUUUUUAUUUACAGUGAUUAAACAAGGGUUAACUGAGUAAUUUGAAGGGUCUGGAUCAUGGGAGUUUAAGGUUGAAGUGAACCUCUGAAAUAUACAACAUUUGAUGAACAUUUUUAUGUGUAGAAAUGGGGAAUUUUUUUUUAGCAAUAUUAGCAGUCAGAUUGUAAAGUUGCAAAGCAGACGAUACUAGAAGGUAAGAAUAGGCCGUUGUGGGUUUUUUCAGGGCUAAAACCAAUUAUUAGUAAUCCAGGAAACCGAUAACUAAUAUUUGGAACCAAUAUUCAUUUGCAGUAAAAAAUGUACAUUUUGGUUUAAAAAUUACACACCUGGGAUUAGACUAAACACAGUACACUGUUCGUUUGUUUUGUACAUUGUGAAAAUCUGUGAUUGAAAAGACCUUAAACAAUUAUUAUGAAUUCCAACAGUAACUAACUAGAAGCUUGAGUGUUGAUUGGCUGGAGAGGGACUAUAUGCGGGACAUAAUUAUAUUAUAACAGCCAAGAGUGGUGUCUCAGGCAGAAAGAGGUGGCUGUGAAAGAGCUGAACGAGUGCAUUUCAGAAUUAACUUAUUUUAUUGGCUAUCAUGGGAGAAAACAGCCAAUGCCGAUUAUUUUAAAAAUAUUCGUGAAUAUUAUUGGCCGUUCCGAUUCUUGGUCAAUCCUUCUAGAAAGAGCUUAACACUGACAUAAAACUGCACAUUGUGAACUUAUUUUAGCUUCAAUGCAAGCACAUCAGAAACUGUGUGCAGCCCUCCAAAACGGUCAUCUUCAACACCAGUGUAAACUACUCUGGAUUUCACUAUUCUUUUUUUUUUUCCUUCUCACAUGCAACCAAGCCACAAGAAUAAGGCACUUAGAAGUUGCCCUUUUAUAAUUUUUUUAUUUUUUAUUUUUUAUUUUUUUGUGUAAGUGAAUUGUUCACAUGUAACAGAAUACAUUAUGAGACCGACCCGUUUUAGAAUAAAAUUAUGAUAGCAGUUUGAGAUUAUAGAUUGAAAAAACCAAACACCAUCAGUGAGUUGAAGGAUUGCACCCACCAGUACUUCACCCUGAGGACACACUGUUGCUGUCACAACUCACAGCAAGAUUUAUCGUCAGCUUAGCAGGCGGGUGUAUGAUUCCCUCACACCUCUCUCCUGACUCAGGGGUCAUUGACAGUGACUUAUGCGAGAGGAGACAGAGGUGUCACAGGGAAAAUAUGUGUGUCAGCUCACAUCAGGUCCAUUCUGCUCCCAUGCAACCUGAUCACAUCUGAAAGAGAGAUUUCCUGACAGUAUUGGUAUGAUACCUCCAAAUCCUGCAGCAGCACCACAAGAAUAUCAUUUAACUGUAAGGAAGAAACAUAAACUUGAUGGGUAAUGUGUUUUUUCUUAAUUUGAGGGUUCAGCUUAUAUAGUUAUCAGCAGCUUUGGUCUUACCAGCAUACAAUAUGUGUGUAUCAUCUUUAUCAGUUUGAUAUAUAUUAGUGACCCUCCCGUAGUUUUUACUACAUUUAUGAAGGUUUCCUGUCUUCAAGAGUCAACAGUGAAGCUGAAGAUAUACUCGUAAACCUUAUGUUUGUGUGGACAAGUGACUGUAAUGAGCUUUAUUGUCUACAUACUUGCAGUGCAAUAUGCAUGUUACUGAUGGGCACCUCCUCUGAACACACCUGAGAACUCAGGCUGUAUGCACCAAACAGAUGUAUAAGAUGUUCACCAAACUUUCCAAGUUUACUGUUGGGUUGAUCCUGACAACAUAUUGAUUUCAAUGGCCUGUUGAGUGAUAAAAUUCCUCAGCCAGCUCAGACAAAUGAUGACCAGUAGACAGACCCCAGUGUCAGCACUGCAUUCAUUUCCUUUCUCUAACAUCCCCGAUUACACAUAGAUUUCUCUGACAAGUUGAAAAAUUAUGCCAUCAGAGAGUAUUUGAUGCACACGUUUGACUUUUUCUUUGUUGUUCCUCCUUUUUCAGGUAUAUUCAUGUUCAAAAUUACAGCUACUGUCAGUAAAUCCUGCAUUUAAGAAGCUUCAAGACAGUGUUAUUGUGAUGUUCAAUUGAGUUAGUAAUUUGUGUUAUGAACAGCAACAUUAAGCACCUGCCCAGUGAUGCAAGAGAGCCUGGAUUAUUAUUGACACUGGAUGUAACUUUCAUCGUCAUUUACUGAUGAAAAGUGCAAACUUCUAAUUUGUACAGUUCAUGGAACAUCACAGUGCAGACAAAUGUUUGAAGUCCAUACAAGAGCAGGAGAGCCUUCACGUGAACAGAGACUGAACAACUACCUAGAACAAGAGCUGGCUACUUGGAGAGUUCCCGUGGUAAGGUGGCGCAAACACAGCAAGAAAAGAUUUUGGGCUCUAUUUUGGUGCCUCGCCGGAGACGUGCCGCAAGUGCAGAGUCAAUCAGAUCCGCCGCGCUGACAAGGCGUUCCCAAGCACAUUUUGGUAUUUUGGUGAGCCGCGCAGCCCGGCGUAAGUAUCCCCCCUCCCUAACUCAGCUCCUCCCGGCAGCAUAAAUCAUAGAAGGGGAGGAGAGAGGGCGUAUAGGGGUUUAACACAGCCGAGACCUGUUUUCACCAAUCACAUAAGCUCCUCUCCUUGCCUUUAAAUCCGCCACCGGCGAGGCGUAUUACUAUUUUCAUGAAGUAGUCAAAGAGAUCAAGAGAUGUCUGAAGACAGCUAUGCCACACGAUGGCGACAGAGGGCAGCUGCUCAACAAGUGUCCUCCACACUCUCUCAUCUGAGCACAGAUAGAUUUGGUGUGCGUAAUGUUGGACCCACUGGUAAGACAAACACCCUUUUCCACAAAAAAGACACUCACAUAAAGUUGCAUAUAUUCAAACCUCACGUGACAAAGGUGAGUUUAGCGCACAGAUCACAACAUAAACUCCAAAAAUGGCAUUAAAAUCGGAACCAUCUGUGCGUAAAUGACGCAUCGCGCUCCGUGGCCUGGCUCUUUCUUUCAUAGAUGUUGGCAUAUAAAAUAAAUUUGGCCCACAAAACUGAAUAUUAUAAUAUCCGUAUGUCGGCUUAAAGUAGAUAACGCAUCUGAGCACUGAAACAAAUCAUCUGUUCAGCCGCAGCAGCUGCAGCAAGACGGACAGAGGACACGGAGACGUGUCCAGGUCGAGCUGUGCGAGAAAUAAGAGGAAGAAAGAAAAGGAGGGAGACACAUUACAUAUCUUGUUAACUUCAUCAUGUGUGUUUAUUUACUAGAUAUUUAAUUUAAUUUGAUGCAGUUUCAGCUGUAUUGAUUCGGUCAGGUUGUGUGCCCAAACGCGUGCCAAACGCGUGCCAAACGCGCUCAUCAGAUCAGAUAUAGAUCAGAAUAUAUUGAUAUAGAUCUAAAUGUAUGUGCUGACUCAGAUUAAUAGUUGAUGAUGAUUAUUUAUUGCACUGAAAUGUGCCUGACACUGUGGAAACCUGCCGAUGAGGCAUCAGUGACGUAUGUCGAUACGCCGCCGGUCUACCAAAAUACUACAAGACCAGCUGCGUUCCGCCUUGCGCUGAAAGCUGACCAGGUUUGAAUCGGCGAGCUUUCAGCGCACGUUACACGCCGGUGGCGAGCACGAAAAUGUCACUGCGCCAGCUGAUUCUGUCAACACCUCCCCCUGCCACGCCACCACGCCCAGCUUGGCGGAUCUCGGCUCGCCUCCGUGCGACUCAGUCC